rnacentral:lncRNA from 1 species
UGUUUUGAAAGGAUUGGGACUGAUUUCACCAUUCAGUGGCGAAGACGGUUUAACUGAGAUGGUUGAAUCUUCAGAAAUGGGGAAGAAUCUAUCCGUAUCGAACAUUUUCCAUAAAGCGUGUAUCGAAGUGAACGAAGAAGGAACAGAAGCUGCAGCCGCAUCAGCUGGAGUUAUAAAACUAAGAGGUUUGCUUAUGGAGGAAGAUGAGAUAGAUUUUGUGGCGGAUCAUCCGUUUCUGUUGGUGGUCACAGAGAACAUAACAGGAGUGAUUCUGUUCAUCGGCCAAGUCCUUGAUCCGUUGCAUUGAAAACUAAUUUGGACCUUACUACUGGUUUUACUUAUAGAGUAAUCAAUAAAUGAGUGUCGUUACGAGUGGUGACUCAUCUUUGUGCUACUUCUUUUGAUGUAUGUAAUAAUAAUAACAUCCUCUUUUUAACAGUAGACAUUAUGGUUUCAUCAACAUAUAUGUACGUCAAAACUAUAGAUUAAUUAGUUAAUUCUGAAAUUUAAUGAUUUCGAAUACAUAGAACUUGAUUCAUCACAUAUAAUACAUAAAAGCUGAUACAUCACAUAUAAUACAUAAUAAACAUUGAUCAUUACACACGCUUGCUUUUUCUUCGUCGAACAGAACAACAAUGCGUUAACGAGCUCUAAUGGUUCGUUUCUUGCUUCGGCCAAUAACCUUCAUGAACCACUCAUGUUUGUACGAAACCAUUAUGUGUCCCAUCAUUAAUCCAAAUACAACUCCAGGUGCAAAGCCUAAACAUGCUGCCAUCCAACUCAAUGCUUCUUCUUCUUCUUCUUUUGUCUCUACCAGUUCGGACUGUGUUGGCGCUUUGAUAUCGCCACAAACAUCUUUAAGGGAAAGACCAUUAAGCCCCGGGUUUCCUUUGUAGGAGGAGCAUUUUUGUCGUUGAAACUGUGUGCCUUGUGGUAUGGAACCUACAAGCUGGUUAUGUGAAACAUUUAUCCAUGCGAGAGAAGAGAGGCUCCCAAGCUCAGGAGGAAUCUCACCAGAUAUCUUGUUUUGGGAUAGGUCGAGUGACUCGAGAUUCGUCAAAUUUGCCAAAGUAGAUGGGAUGUGACCCGUGAAAGCAUUGUUUGACAUGUUGAGAAUACGAAGCUCCUUUAGAAAACCAACAGAAUCAGGAAUUUGUCCACUAAGUUGAUUUCCUGAAAAAUCGAUGGCUGUGUAUGUUGUAAGGAUACGUUCCAUCUCCAUUGAUACUCCUUUACUCAUCAACACAAGUGAAAUGUAGAAGAUGUUGAUCCGAUAAUUUCUAAUGUAAUCUAGUUCCAUAUUAUUGUCUCUCUUGAAGUACAUUGCAGUCCAGUUCAAGAAGUAAUCAGAUGGCAAGGCACCGAAGAAGUCAUUAUACGAUACAUCAAUGAUUUUCAACUUAGGAAAUCCAAACCAAACCCCAUCAGCAUUAUGUAAUUUGCCAUGAAACUUGUUAGAGUGUAGGACGAUGACUUGAAGGUUCUCCAGAGAAUUCAAAUGGAAGGGAAACAUGUCGUUGAUUGUGUUGCUUCCCACGUUCAAAACUUCCAAGGCAGAGCAACCAACAAGAGAAGCUGGAAUUUUUCCCUCGAUUUGGUUGUGACUAACGUCAAGCGACGUUAAACUCUUGGCGUUCUGAAAUAUUUCAGGAAGAACCCCGCUGAGUCUGUUCUUACGGAGAUUUAGAUCCGAAAGAGAACUCAUCACCAGAGUCUCUAAACACCAGGGAAUUGAGCCAUGGAGGUUGUUGUCUGAUAGAUCUAGGACCUCUAAAGAGUUUACUUCACAUAUUGAUCGAGGGAUCUCUCCCGUGAAGUUAUUCUUAGAACCCAAAAAAAUAUAGGAGAUACUUGGAGGAUGGGAUGAAGAGUGGUCCUUGGAAAGCAUUUGAGCUUAGAUCAACAUAACUUAUUUGACUCUGCGGAGAAACUUCUAAGGAUCCAUUGAAACCGCUGAGAGAGUUGUUAGAGAGACGCACAAACUCCAAUUUUGGCAGUCUCCACAACCAGUCUGGUACUUGACCUUUGAUUUUGUUGUUGGAAAGAUAUAAUUGUUGUAGAUUUCUUCCUUUUUUUAUGAACUCAGGGAACUCAGUGAUGUUGCAGCCACUCAAAAUUAAAGAUUCCAAACUUGAUGGGAAAUCCGAAUCAAGAGUGAUGUUUGCUGUUGAAAGAGGGAUGCCAUAUAUAGAUAACGAGUCUAGCUUCUUGAGAGGCAAGAAGACAUUUAAGUUAACUUCUGAAUCAGAGACUUUGUUGUAAUUUCUACUCUUAAUAGAAAUUUUUUGUAAAUUAGGUAACAGAGAGAUAUUUGAAAUCCCAGUAUAGUCGUUGAAUUGGUUAUAACGCAAAGAGAUAUGGAUCAAAGAGGGAAUCUUGACUAGGGAUGAAAGAAUGGCUCCUUUAAAAGAACUGUCAUCAGCUGAAAAAGACUCUAAUUUGGAGAAUUGGCUAAUGAUUGGUGGAAGAGAACUAGUAAACUGAUUUGAAGAGAGCCAGAGUUCAAGUAGUUGGGUACAGUUGAGUAUUGAAGCUGGCAAGUUUCCACUGAGCUUGUUACCACUAACAUAAAAAAGUGUCAACUGUUUUAGAUUGCCAAUUGAAGAUGGGAUUUCACCAACAAAGUUAUUAUCAGAGAGAUCUAGAUAUGAGAGAUGAGACAGAUUCCCAACUGAAAAAGGAAUCUUCCCUGUGAACUGAUUUGAAGAGAGCCAGAGUUCACGUAGUUGAGUAAAAUUGAGUAUUGAAGCUGGCAAGUUUCCACUGAGCUUGUUUUCGGAAACAUCAAAAAUGGUUAAUUGUUUUAGAUUACCAAUUGAAGAUGGGAUUUCACCAACAAAGUUAUUAUAAGAGAGAUCGAGAAAUGAGAGAUGAGAAAGAUUCCCAAGUGAAAGCGGAAUCUUCCCUGAGAAUUGGGAAGAGGAAAGGGUCAAGGAAAUCAAAUUUUUGAGGUUGCUAAUGGAGUCGGGUAUGGGACCAGAAAAGGCUGUAAUGUCAAUGGUCAGCUCUACCAAAGAAUUAUUCUCACGAAAAGAGGGAAGAUUGCCUCUCAGAUUUGGAUUGUAGCUUAAUGUAAUGGACUGCAGACUAGGUAUCAGCAGAACACUACUUGGAAAUUCUCCAAAGAGGUUGCAUAAGCUUAGAUCUACUGACCUUAGAGAUCGCAAUUUUGAAAACUCAUGGGGGAUUUUUGAAGAAAUGUUUACAUUGCUCAUAUCGAGUUCUCUAAGACUCCUCAAAUUUUGAGCAAAUAGAUGAAGAAAAGAUUCAUCAAUAGAUAGAGAAGAAGAAGAAUCAGAAAGAUGGAGAGACACCAACUUGGUUAGCUGAAGAAGGUUGACUGGAAUUUGGCCUGAAAGUGAAGAAUCAGAGAGGUCAAGUGUUUCUAGCCUCAUGAGCUUAUCAAACUCAGCUGGGAUUGAAGAACCGGUGAAAUUAUUGCCAGUAAGGUUCAAAUCACGGAGAUGAAGCAGUUUAAACAGACUACUGUUGGAUUCGAGCUUGCCGUAGAGGUAGUUGAAACUAAGGUCUAGUCCGAUGACUUUGCCCGACUUCGCAGCACAUGUGAUGCCAUCCCAAGAACAACAAUCACUUUUGUUCAUCCAUGAUUCGGUCUUUAUAUCUGAAUCAACGUCCAAACGAGGCUUCUUGAUCAAAAGCUCAGUCUUAAACUCUAGAAGAGCAUCCCUUUCGUCUAGAUGACACAAGUGUUGUGUAGAAGAAACGAAUGUGUUUAGCAAACAUGAAACGAAAAAAAGGAAAGAGAUAGAACGAAGAAGGAAUCUCAUUUUCUGAUUAGGUAAGAAAGCUUUCAUAUUUGUGAAUAAAAGAGUAAUCUGAAGUAGUGAUGGUGAACUAGUGUUGCAGGUCACUUACAUAUAUAUAUAAUCAAACACAUGAAGCUCCAUUGAUUUAACAUUUUGAAGUCUUUUCGAUGAAAUUUCUUCCCCACAAAGAAUAUUGUGAGUCUUUCCAAAUCCAAUAGACUUGACUUAAUAGAGCAUAAACUCUCUUGCCCUAAAAACAAAAUCAUGUUGUAAGAAAUUAGAAGCAAAGAUCAAAAAAUCAUUCUCAGUGAGCAAAGUAAAAUUGGAGUUUAGUGAGGACAAGUAGAGAAAUCAAAGUGCCGUGUAGCAUAAGCUUGUAGGACAAGUAGAAUUAUCCUAUAAAAUGCUUACCAAGUUGUCAUCUGUCCAAUUCCAACCUAAAACAUACGUCAAUAUUAACUUUUCAAUAGUUUGAACAUUAGAUUCUUUAUAUGAGCCAAGCUAGAUUAAAACAAAACUUAUCUUGGCCAAGUUGAAGAGUUUUGUUCUCAAAACUAAACGUUUGUAAUUGUAUGUAUCAUCAACGAAUAUUACAAACUCUCGUUGAUGCUCUUGUUCUCAUAAAUAUCACAAAACCCAUACGUUACGUUUCAUCUCUCAAAGAAUGUUCCGAUAACGAUUAUUAACAAGAAAAAUACUUAACAAAUACUAAAAUAUUUUCUUACACAUUUUAGUACAUAAAAGUCUAAACUGUAUAUUCAGUUUACAACAUAUAUGAAACGUACGAUUAAUCGAGUUUGAAAUCUUUAUAUUAAACCAAAGAUUGAUUAUAAGUUUUGGUUAUAUCUCACACUUAUGAAUCAGGAUCAUGUAACAUAGAGUGAUGCAAUACACUUGUAACAUCCCAAUAACAUCUCGACCUAAUCUUAAUUAAAUCCAAUCGGAAAACAGCCAUAGUGUGUUUUUUUCCUUGUAUUAGUUUCACUUUUUUAUUUUUUAUAUUAUUUUGCUAAGAAUGUAAAUAUUUCAUUUGAAAAAAAAAAUAAUCAGAUUUACAAUCCAUGAUUACAAAAGAGACUUGUCACACAAGUAUAGGUUAUGUUAUGUGCUUAUAUAUGUUGUAUCAUUUCAUUCAAUAAUACAAAACAAUAUACAAUUCAAUAUUCUCUACUUACAUAACUCGAUCUUGGCCCUAAAAAGUCUUUUUGUAAGAAAUUAGAAACGAAGAUCAAAAAAUCAUUCUCAAUGAGCAAAGUAAAAUUGGAGUUUAGUGAGGGCAAGUAGAAAAAUCAAAGUGCCGUGUAGUUUAAGCUUGUCCUUCAAAUUCAAAUGGGACUAUUCUCCUGUGGCUUUUCCCCCAUGAAAUGCUUUACCUAGUUGUCCUCUAUCCAAUUCAAACCUAAAAACAUACGUUAAUAUUAACUUUUCAAAAGUUUGAACAUUAGAAUCUUUAUAUGAGCUUGGCCAAAUUGAAGAGUUUUGUUCUCAAAACUGUACGUUUAUAGUUGUCUGUAUUAACAACGAAUAUCAUAAAGUCUCGUUGAUGCUUGUGUUCUCAUAAUAUCACGAAACCCAUACGUUACGUUUUAUCUCUCAACGAAUGUUCCGAUAAAAACCAAAUUUUAUUUACUUCUGAUCAUCAUAUACACAAAUAUUCUGGAGAUAAUUACACAAACGAUUUCUUACACAUUUUAGUACUUUAAUUCUAAACGUACAACAUAUAUGAAUGGUACGAUUAAUCGAAUUUGACAUCUUUACAUUGAACGAAAGAUUGAUUAUAAGUUUUGGUUAUGUCUCACACUCAGGAAUCAGGAAAACAGCCAUAGAGUGUGUUUUUUUUUUCCUUGUUUUAGUUUCACUUUUUUAUUUUAUUUUGCUAAGAAUGUAAAAAUUUCAUUUAAUUAUUUUUAUAAAAAAAAACAGAUUUAUAAUCGAUGAUUAUAGACCUUAGGCUAAUAAUAGUUUCAGCUUCACUUUCUCUGGUCUAACAAGUCAAGUCGUCUAGUAAAGUCAUGCCAGAGAGCUUCACAUGUAUCUUUGUGAUUAAAGUCAGGUUGCUUAGGGUUCUUCUUACUUGUCCUGUUAUCCCACCACUCGUACGUAAGGAUUCGCAAAAGAGACUUUUCACAACCAUUUUUGGUUUCUUCUAUACCAUCUUCUAUGGUAACACCAAAUGUGAGUAAAUUAUAUAAGAAAAUAAAUACCAAAAGCUAGAAUUUUAUGUUUUUUUUUUUUGUGGCUGUAAAACAUCAUUAAAAUUAACUCCAGGAUUGUGCAAAAUUCCCAAACUUGAACAAAACUGUCAAAUUAUUCGAAUGGAAUAUGAUUUUUUUUUAUAUUUAAACUCUAAUUAUCCAACCGCGAAUCAAACUGAAUCAAAAUUAUGUAAAAUAACGAAAGGAAAUAGAAUUCGUUGAAAAUCUAAUAUUUGUCUUGGCUCAUAUAUUAGUGGGUUGGUUGCGGCUAGCGUACGUUAUUCCUCGAGUAUGCAGACAUUGUUACUACUACCACUCACAAAUCGCUAUAAUAUUCUUUAGGAAGGUGCUGACUAAUUUUCGUAAUAUUUGAUAGUUUUCCUUUUGAAUUUUCGCAGAAUAAACCAAGCUGUUGGUCCAUAUAAUUCACACAAUAACGGGUCUCAAGAUAAGGUUACAGAAACAUCAAGAUAGCCUUAAAGAUCAAGGCAGGGUCUCAAGGGGAUUGUUUCAUUCUUUUUUAUUGUGUCACGCUCUCCGAAAAAUGGGGAUUGUACUGUUGAUCUAAAAAUCUAUAAUGUACUGUAGGAACAAAGUUGAAGGACUUUGGAGCAACAACGCAAUCAAAUGAGAAAUUACAAUCAGAGAUGGUAGAAGAAUAUGUUAAGCAGUUCCCAAUAAUUGGGUUCGAGAAAGAGUCCAUGAGAUUCAGUAGCGCUAGAGAACUUUACCAACAGGGACUGGGACAUUCAGAGAGGUAAUUAAACUUACCUUAACCAACAUAAGGCAUUUGAAUCCGCUCAGUGACCUGAAACUCAGAGAAUUUACAAAACUGGGACUCUCUCGUUUUAUCAUUAGGGACAUGAACAUUCAGAGAGGUUUACUUUGACCGAGAAGAGGCAGUGUUGUAUAUAGCUCCACCAAUAUACUGCAGCAAAAGUGCAACUACUUCACAACAGUUGCUUGAAUUGGCAUAUGCAUACUUUGAUGGAUAAUGGUGUACUCAAGGAAUCCCCCCCUUUUGCACCAUACGUUACUAAGGUUAAACUCCAUCACUGAUUCAACAAAUAUCCCCAAUUUUUCCCAUAAAUCUAAGUUCAAUUCUCAAAACAAGUAAAAAAAAUCUCCAAGAGUUUUAUAUGAAACUCCAAGACAAACUAAAUUUUCUCAUAGUAACCUUGAAUUAAUAAUAUCUCCUUAAUAACCACACAAUCACCCAAUCCAACUGUCGGUUUUCUACCAACCGUCUCUCUGUUUUCAAACUUUUUUUUUUUUUUGAAUGAAUGUGAAAAUAUAUUCAAAACAAAAAAAUGUCCUUUUUACAAUGAAUGCUUCCUUGGAUCAAAAAAGAGCAAAAAAAAACCUGAAAAUUGUUUAAAAGGAAUUAGAAAAGUAGUAGAGUAGCUAACCAAAUCUGCAGCCCGUCACCAAACUUUGUUGUGUUGCCUUGCAUUGAAAGGAGCUUAUUACGGACCAUGCGGUCUAGGAAGCGGACAAGCUGGUCCGUGGUGCUUGGCGUAUCUCCAUGCCGUCUUCUGUUUCGCUCCAACCAAAUCGUGUGGACUGAAACUUGGAACACGAGACGCAGAAGAUAAGAACUUAUUCCUUUUAUGGUCUGACCCGAGAGAAGAGUAAGAAUCUGGCCAAAGGACGUAGAGAAUUGGCGCGUCAAGAGCGGUCGAGACAGAUCCUGCCAAACCCGUGAAGAGUAAGGGCAUUCAAAGAAGAGGUGAGGGAAUGUUUCAAGUGGUGCCCGACAGAGCACACAAGCACCAUUCACGCCUCUGUUCCAGGCCAGCAUACGGUCCGCCGUUGUUAAUCUGUUUCGAGCAGCUAACCAAAGAAUGAAAGAACACUUCGGAAUGGAGUUAGAGAACCAUAUACUCUGUUUUCAAACUUAUUUUUGUAUUUUGUCUGUUCUAUAAUUUACAUAUUCUUUUUUUGUAGAAAACUGCUACAAUUAAAUUUUGAUAUAGGAAAUUCCAAAUCUAAAUAUAUAUAUAUCUAAUAUUACUUUUAAAAAUUAUAUAUAAAAAUCCUUAAUUUUCCAAAUGUAUAAAAGAAAAUAUGCAAAAAACUAAGUCUUAAAAAGAGAAGGAAAAAAACUUGUAUGUAAAAUAGAAGAAAAGUAUGGAAAAAAAAAACAAACUUAUUGAUAGCAGUUAAGAAAUUAUAAAAGAAUGUUAAAUAUGAUUUAAAAGGUAUAUCUUCUUCAGAAAUACGAAAGUCAAAUCGUUAUAAGUUUAAGGACCAGAUUUUAGCAUUACCAGAUUUUGGAAGAUCGUAAUAUAAGAUAAGUACAUUUUAGUGUAAGUUGACAAAAAAAAAGUAAUAAUAAUAAUAUGAUAAGAAUGUGUAUAAGUUAAUAUUGUUCCACUUAUUUCUUCAUACAGUAUAUAUAUAUGAACUUUUAUUACAUUAGUUCACCUGAAACCCUAAUUGAUCACGAGAGAAACAAGGAUGACGAUAUCCCAACUGCCACAAGAUUUGAUAGAAGAGAUACUAUAUAGGGUCCCCGUGACAUCCCUGAGACGAUUACGAUCUACUUGCAAAGGAUGGUACCAUCAAGCUUUAUUCAAAGAUCCUAGAUUCAUCAAAAAACACUUUGACAAAACAGCAAAGCAGUAUCAUGCUCUUAUGCUGUUUGGCAAUACGGUAUGUCCAAUGAGCUCCGUUGUCGAUAGGGUUAUGAGAGUGGUCAGUAUAUAUCCGCAUCGCCUAGCUCUUCCCCAUCGUGACGAAUUCGUCAGUUUAUCUGAAGCCUUUCACUGCGAUGGCAUAUUGCUAUGCAGCCUCUUGAUGAAGACCAUGAUUGUGGUUUGGAACCCGUUUUCGGGGCAAACCAGGUGGAUCCAAGUAACCCAACUGCAAGAUCACUACAUUGGAGCGUAUGCUCUCGGAUACAACAACAAGGAGUUGUGUCGUAGCUACAAAAUCUUGAGGUUCCGGUGUCAAUACGUAAAGUUGGCGGCAUCAUGGGGCUGGGGUGCACUUAAUGUCACUCCGGAACCAGAAGGCAACAUUAUAUCGGAAAUAUAUGAGUUUAGCUCUAAUUUAUGGAGGAAUCUGGAUUCGGUCCUUCCCGAUCAAGCCUACUUAAAACCUAGUGGUGGUGUAUCUUUAAAUGGGAAUACUUAUUGGAUGUCGUGUAAUAAAAAAGGAGACUACUCACUACUCAGUUUUGAUUUUUCAACAGAAAAGUUUCAACGUUUAUGCGCUCCCUUUCAUCAUGAACCAUGCCAUAUUGAUACUAGGGUUCUCUCGGUUGUUAGAGAAGAACGUCUCUCGUUGUUAUAUCAGAGUAGGAAGACACUAGAGGUGGAAAUAUGGAUGACCGAUGAGAUUGAGACCACAUUUGUGUCGUGGAGCAAGUUCUUAAGAGUAGAUUUAUUAGGAUUAAACCAUUGUUUUUCGGAUUCCAUGAGCUUCUCCAUUAUCGAUGAGGAGAAGAAAGUUGUCGUGUGUUGUGAUGAAGCGGGAAAUUUCGACUUCACAAUGGUGUGGAUUGUUAAAGAAGGAGAAGAAUAUAGAGCAUCACCCGAUAUUUCAGUUGAUGGUGGCGUACAAGCAUGGAGUAUACCACUUCUUAGUGUUCCAAGUUUGUUUGGUUAUGUUCCAAAAAAUUAGCAUUCUUGUUUCUUUAAUUUCUUCCUUUGUUAUGUCCUUGGAUUGAUGAAAAAAGAAAACACUAAACACAAAACACACACAACAAAAAAGGUUAUGUUGCUCCCAGGCACGAGUCCCCAUGCCAUCUCACAUUCUUUCAUCUCAUAUAAAACUACUCUCUCGUUUUCCCUAGAGACAUGAACAUUGACCAAGAAGAGGCAGAUGUCUUGGUGGCUCGGUGCGAUAAGUAAUACUUUGGUUAUUAAUUUGUCUUAAAAAAAACGAAAUCGAAAAGAGACGUUAGAAACUUUGAGUGUGAUUUUCAUCAUCAUGUCACAUACCGUAUAAUUGGUUAUGCUUAGCAUAGGACACAUGAUCAGUGAAGGUACUCUCGUCCUCUUGGUUUGGUCAUUGGGAUGACAAGAUCUCCCAUUGUUUCUUCACGAUCGUACAAUGGUUCUAAUACCAAAUCUCGUUUGUGAAAAUAUAACGUAACUCAAGAAUAAUACAUGUUUAGAUAACUCCUAAACUUCUUUCUCCUAAAAACCAUAAUUCGGUAGGAUUAGGUUUAGCUUGAGAUUCAAGCUUUCUUUAAGUUUAAACCAACAUACCAGACAAAAUAGUUUCUACUCUUGGGUUCUUAGAGAGCCGCAUUCCAUGUAGACAAUUUAAAGUCGGUGAAUUCAAUAUUCCAAAGUUUAAAUUCUCUUCGGGUUUGACGCCUCAGAUAUUUUGAAAGGAUUGGGACUGACUUCGCCAUUCAGUGGCGAAGACGGUAUAACUGAGAUGCUUGAAUCUCCAGAAAUGGGGAAGAAUCUAUCCGUAUCGAACAUUUUCCACAAAGCAUGCAUCGAGGUGAACGAAGAAGGAACAGAAGCCGCAGCCGCAUCAGCUGGAGUUAUAAAACUAAGAGGUUUGCUUAUGGAGGAAGAUGAGAUAGAUUUUGUGGUGGAUCAUCUGUUUCAGUUGGUGGUCACAGAGAACAUAACAGGAGUUACUAUGUUCAUCGGCCAAGUCCAAGAAAACUAAUUUGGAGCUAACUACUGGUUUAAGUUAUAAAGUAAUCAAUAAAUGAGCUGUGUCUUUACGAGUGGUCUUUAAUGUGUGUAAUAAUAAUAACAUCCUUUGUCUUAUAGCUCAUAAUGCCUCAUAUAUAUAAUGAAAACAAAUAAUCAAUAUGAUAAUUCAUAUAAUACAUAAAAAACUGAUACAUCACUUAUAAUGGGAAAUACAUAAAAAUUGUCCAUCACACGUUAUUUAUGAUGUUAUCACACAAACUUCGUCGAACACAACAAUUAUAUAACAACAAUGCGUUAAUGAGCUCUUCGUUGCUUGCUUCGGCCAAAAACCUUCAUGAACCACUCAUGCUUGUACGAAACCACUAUGUGUCCCAUCACUAAUCCAAAUACAACUCCAGGUGCAAAGCCUAAACAUGCUGCCAUCCAACUCAAUGAUUCUUCUUCUUCUUUUGUCUCCACCAGUUUCGAUUGUGCUGGUGUCGGUGCUUUGAUAUCUCCACAAACAUCCUUAAGGGAAAGAGCAUUAAGCCCCAGGUUUCCUUCAUAGGAGGAGCAUUUUUGUCGUUGAAACUGCGUGCCUUGUGGUAUGGAACCUACAAGCUGGUUAUGUGAAACAUCUAUCACUUCCAGAGAUGAGAGGGUCCCAAGUUCAGGAGGAAUCUCACCAGAAAUCUUGUUUUGGGAUAGGUCGAGUGACUCCAGAUUCGUCAAAUUUGUCAAAGUAGAUGGGAUGUGCCCCGUGAAAGCAUUGCUUGACAUGUUGAGAAUAUGAAGUUCCUUCAACAGACCAAUGGAAUCAGGAAUUGGUCCAUGGAGUUGAUUUCCUGAAAAAUCAAUGGCUGUGUAGGUUGUAAGGAUACGUUCCAUCUCCAUUGACACUCCUUUAUUCAUCAACACAAGUGAGUAGUAGCCAUCUUCUGAAGGAUUCCUAAUGUACUCAGGUUCCAUAUUAUUAUCUCUCUUGGAGUACAUCGCAGUCCAAUUCAAAAAGUAAUCUGAUGGCAAUGUACCGGAGAAGUCAUUGUGUGAUACAUCAAUGAUUUUCAGAUGAGGAAAUCCAAACCAAACCCCAUCAGCAUUACGUAAUGUACCAUGAAACCUGUUAGAGUGGAGGACAAGGACUUGAAGUUUCUGCAGAGAAUUCAAGUGGAAGGGAAACAUGUCUUUGAUUGUGUUGCUUCCCACGUUCAAAACUUCCAAAGCAGAGCAACCAACAAGAGAAGCUGGUAUUUUUCCCUCUAAUCGGUUGUGACUGACGUCAAGUGAAGUUAACCUCUUGGCGUGAUGAAAUAUUUCAGGAAGAAUUCCGCUAAGUCUGUUGCUACGGAGAUUUAGAUAUGCAAGAGAAGUCAUCACCAGAGUCUCUAAACACCAGGGAAUUGAACCAUGGAGGUUGUUGUUUGAUAGAUCUAGGCCCUCUAGAGAGUUUAGUCCACAUAUUGAUUGAGGAAUCUCUCCAGUGAAGUUAUUCUUAGAACCCGAAAAAUAUUGGAGAUGCUUAGAGGAUGGGAUGAAGAGUGGUCCUUGGAAAGCAUUUGAGCUUAGAUCAACAAAACUGUUUUGACUCUCAAGAUAAACUUUUAAGGAAAGAGAUGGAACGAAGAAGGAACCUCAUUUUCUGAUUAGGUAAGAAAGCUUUCAUAUUUGUGAAUAAAAGAGUAAUCUGAAGUAGUGAUGGUGAAUUAGUGUUGCAGGUCACUUACAUAUAUUUAAAAUCAAACACAUGAAGCUCCAUUGACUUAACAUUUUGAAGUCUUCUCGAUGAAAUUUGUUCCCCACAAAGAAUAUAGUGAAUCUUUCCAAAUCCAAUAGACUUGACUUAAUAGAGCAUAAACUCUCUUGCCCUAAAAACAAAAUCAUGUUGUAAGAAAUUAGAAGCAAAGAUCAAAAAAUCACUCUCAGUGAGCAAAGUAAAAUUGGAGUUUAGUGAGGACAAGUAGAAAAAUCAAAGUGCCGUGUAGCUUAAGCUUGUAGGACAAGUAGAAUUAUCCUAUAAAAUGCUUACCAAGUUGUCAUCUCUGUCCAUAUCCAACCUAAAACAUACGCCAAUAUUAACUUUUCAAUAGUUUGAACAUUAGAUUCUUUAUAUGAACCAAGCCAAAUUAAAACAAAACUUAGCUUGGCAAAAUUGAAGAGUUUUGUUCUCAAAACUGAACGUUUGUAAUUGUAUGUAUCAUCAACGAAUAUUACAAACUCUCGUUGAUGCUCUUGUUCUCAUAAAUAUCACAAAACCCAUACGUUACGUUUCAUCUCUCAAAGAAUGUUCCGAUAACGAUUAUCAACAAGAAAGAUACUAAAAUAUUUUCUUACACAUUUUAGUACAUAAAAGUCUAAACCGUAUAUUCAGUUUACAACUUAUAUGAAACAUACGAUUAAUUGAAUUUGAAAUCUUUAUAUUAAACCGAAGAUUGAUUAUAAGUUUUGGUUAUGUACUCUCACACUCAAGAAUCAGGAUCAUGUAACAUAGAGUGAUGCAAUACACUUGUAACAUCCCAAGAACAUCUCGACCUAAUCUUAAUUAAAUCCAAUCGGAAAAAAGCCAUAGUGUGUUUUUUUCCUUGUAGUAGUUUCACUCUUUUUAUUUUGCUAAGAAUAUAAAUAUUUCAUUUAAAAAAAAUAAUCAGAUUUACAAUCGAUGACUACAGACCUUUGGCCAAUAAUAGUCUCAGAUUCACUUUCUCUGGUCUAACAAGUCAAGUCGUCACUAACAAGUAAUCCAGUCUGAUAAAUCUAAGUCAUGCCAGAGAGUUUCACAUGUAUCUUUAUGAUUCAAGUCAGGUUGCUUGGGGUUCUUCUUACUUGUCAUGUUAUCCCACCACUCGUACGUAAAGAUUCGCAAAAGAGACUUUUCACAACCAUUUUGGUUUCUUCUAUACCAUCUUCUAAGGUAACACCAAAAACACAAAAGGUCAUGUCAUGUGAGUAAAUUAUAGAAGAAAAUAAAUACCAAAAGCUAGAAUUUUAUGUGUUUUUUUGUGUGGCUGUAAAACAUCAUUUAACUUAUGUCUAGCUAGGAUUGCCCAAAAUUCCCAAACUUGAACAAAACUGUCAAAUUAUUCGAAUGGAAUAUGAUUUUUUUUUUUUUUAAAUCGAAUUAUCCAACCGCGAAUCAAACUGAAUCAGAAUUAUGUAAAAUAACAAAAGGAAAUAGAAUUCGUUGAAAAACUAAUAUUUUUGUUGGCUGAUAUGGCUCAUAUUAGUGGGUUGGUUGCUGCUAGCAUACGUUGUUACUACUACCACUCACAAAUCGCUUCACUGUCCCAGAGGGGCUAUAAUAUUCUUUAGGAAGGUGCUGACUAAUCUUCGCAAUAUUUGUUAGUUUUCCUUUAGAAUUUUCGCAGUAUUUGAUAGUUUUCCUUUUGAAUUUUCGCAGAAUAAACCAAGCUGUUUCCUGGACCACAAGUUGGUCCAUAUAAUUCACACUAUAACGGGUCUCAAGAUAAGGUAACAGAAACACCAGCUCUCACGUCAAAAUAGCCUUAAAGAUCAAGGCAGGGUCUCAAGGGGAUUGUUUCAUUCUUUCUUAUUGUGUCACGCUCUCUGAAAAAUAGGGAUUGUACUGGUGAUCAAUCUAUAAUGUACUGUAGGAACAAAGUUGAAGGACUUUGUAGCAACAAUGCACUCAAAUGAGAAAUUACUAUGAGAUUGUAGAAGAAUAUGUUAAGCAGUUCCCAAUAAUUGGGUUCGAGAAAGAGUCCAUGAGAUACAAAGACUAGUAGAUUCACUAGAGCAACUGUUUAAAUUCAAACAAUCAAAAAUUCAAACACAAGACUGCAUAUAAAUAUAAAACAGGUUUUUUUUUGGUUGAAUAAAUUUAACAUUCAUUCAAAAAAAAAAAAAAAAAAAAAAACUCGUAAAAUGGCACUCUUGAGAAAAUUGUAAUGCAACUGUUUAAAGGGUUAUGAUGGAUUUAUCCAAGCACUGUUUCUUAAAUAAGAUGUUUAUUUUGCCUUCCUACAUAAAACGAUACAGCUAUGGGAUUAAGUAUUUGUUCAAGAAUGGCCUAAAAUGUGAAAUCUUUGGCCAAUUUUAAAAAUAUUAUGGCUUCAAAUUUCUAACAAACUGGAAUACCACAGAGAGUAAACUAUAGGAUUCGAAGAAAGGCCACGACGGGCAAAACUCUGCAAGAACCCAGUGACAAGUGUUUUGGGUGGGAUCGAAUAGUAACUAACAGGACAGCAUAACUAGUAGGAAACAAUGCAAUUUAACAUCCAUCUAACAAAAUAUUCAUAAGACAAAUGGGUUGCAUUACGCCAGUUCUCACAUAUCAAGUUCUCUUAGAAUGAUGUAUGAUCUUAUCUAAGACAAGAACUCACUGAAUCAAUUUUUCUACACAAGUCAGAGAAGAUAUAUAUAGUUUGCUUAAUCAUUAUUGUCUACAAUACGAUGUAUACUUAUACCAAAAAAAGCAUUAAACUUAGCAAUAUGCUGUAUAAAAUUAAAUGGGCACAAACAUUAGAAACAGUCGUAAGACUUCAAAAAACAGUGGUCAAUUUUAUAGAUCAUUAAUAUUCAUCACCAAUCAUAGGAAACAAGACAUCCAAUUUUACUAUAAACAUGUUAUCACUGAGAAAUCUCAACAAAACAAGGGCAUAAAACAACAAGAUGAUACAAAGUUAAAGCCAAAUUCGUAAUUGGAAUAAGGAAUCAUAGUGAGAACAAGGCACCAAAUAAACUAUUCAUAAAUUAUAUUGCUGCAUGCACAAAACUUUCUUUGUUGUCAUAACAUUAAAUGGGUUGCAUCACAACAAAACUGACAUAUCUCAGACAUAAGGUUCUUUAAGAAUUUAUGUAUGAACAAAUACAAAAGACACUCAUUGUAUCAAUCAUUUCACACAAGUCAGAACACCCACCAGAUAUAGUAAGCACACACAACUAUACGAUCAUCCAGAACAACGUUCAGCUGUCACAUUACCUACACUGCUACACUUUAAAUUGAAAGCACACAAAACAUUGUAACACUCAUACGACAAGUAAGUGAAAUGGUUUUCUAAACGAACUUGAAUGUCACAAAUAAUAGAAAAAAUGCAGUUUUUAGUCUUUGCAUAAAAAUAAUCAAAAUCCUACCAGAUAUUAAAAUUGACAAUUUAUAGGAAUCUAUCUUAACAUUUUUGAAGUACAUUUUGUACUAAAAUCUAUUUUAGGUUAUAACCUUUUAUUUUGUAUUAUUUGCAUAAUUAAAUCUUUACCAAUUAAAUAAAUAACAAAAUUGAAAAGUAAAUUUUGUAAUUAACUCACAAAAAAACGAAAAAAUGGAAACAAAUAUUUAUGGGAGAUUUGCACAACUAACCUUUAUUAUGAUACCCUUUUUUACAAGUACCCUCUCUAGGUGUUCAUUUUCAAAAAUACCCUCUUCAAUGUACAAAAUGACUAAAUUACCCUCCUUUAUUAUAACCCAUGAUGAAAAAAGGAAUAUUCUUUCCAACAAAAAGAAUAUUCCUUCCGAAAAAUUUCCCGCCAAAUUUUCCCGCCAAAAAGUUUCGGCAAAAAUUUUCCCGCCAAAAAAAUUUCCCGCCAAAAAAAAUUUCCCGCCAAAAAAUUUCCGCAAUUUCUUAAAAAAACCUUGUAAAUAUUUAUAAAUCCCUUAAAAAUCCUUUAAAAACCCUUGUAAAUCUUUUAAAAGUCAUCCAAAACCUUUCAAAACUUGAGUAAACCUUUCAAAACCAUUGUAAAUCAUUUUAUAACAUUUAUAAACACUUGUAAAUCCCUUUAAACCACUUAUAACCGUGAUAAAUCAUUUAAUAAAAACUUUUGUAAACUUCUAAAACCCGUUAAAAACCCUUGUAAAUCCUUAAAACCCAUUUUAAAGAACUUGUAAUACCUUUAAAAACUUUUGUAAACCCUUCAACAACAAGGAGUUGUGUCGUAGCUACAAAAUCUUGAGGUUCCGGUGUCAAUACGGAAAGUUGGUGGCAUCAUGGGGCUGGGGUGCACUUAAUGUCACUCCGGAACCAGAAGGCAACAUUAUAUCGGAAAUAUAUGAGUUUAGCUCUAAUUUAUGGAGGAAUCUGGAUGCGGUCCUUCCCGAUCAAGCCUACUUAAAACCUAGUGGUGGUGUAUCUAUAAAUGAGAAUACUUAUUGGAUGUCGUGUAAUAAAAAAGGAGACUACUCACUACUCAAAAGUUUUGAGUUUUCAACACAAAAGUUUCAACGUUUAUGCGCUCCAUUUCAUCAUGAACCAUGCCAUAAUGAUACUAGGGUUCUCUCGGUUGUUAGAGAAGAACGUCUCUCGUUGUUAUAUCAGAGUAGGAAGACACUAGAGGUGGAAAUAUGGAUGACCGAUGAGAUUGAGACCACAUUUGUGUCGUGGAGCAAGUUCUUAAGAGUAGAUUUAUUAGGAUUAAACCAUUGUUUUUCGGAUUCCAUGAGCUUCUCCAUGAUCGACGAGGAGAAGAAAGUUGUCGUGUGUUGUGAUGAAGCGGGAAAUUUCGACUUCACAAUGGUGUGGAUUGAUAAAGAAGGAGAAGAAUAUAGAGCAUCACCCGAUAUUUCAGUUGAUUGUGGCGUACAAGCAUGGAGUAUACCACUUCUUAGUGUUCCAAGAUUGUUUGGUUAUGUUCCAAAAAAUUAGCAUUCUUGUUUCUUUAAUUUGCUUCCUUUGUCAUGUCCUUGGAUUGAUGGAUGAAAUAAUAUAGUAUUUUCUUGAAGUCUGGUAAAGUAAUGUAUGCACUUUUCAUUUGAAACGAAUGGUGACUUUGCACAUAAACGAAAAUCAAACAACAGUGGUCUGUCUAGCUACUUCCAGAGAUUUCCCAGUUUGGAUUGUUUGUUUAUAUCCCUACUAUAUUAAAAGAGAAGUACACAAGGGAUUCGGGUCGGGUUUUUCAAAAAAUUCCGGGUUAAAUUUUCAAUCAGAUACUUGCCAAUUCUUUUGUUAAAUAUUUUCCAAAUAUUUCAAUAAUAUACACCACAUUCCUGUCAUUUAGGAAACUAUAUUAAUGUUACAUUAUUAUAUUUUAGAAAAUAUAUUAAUGCUAUAUAAAAAAUAUGUCUUAUAAGGAAAAUUUGUUUAUGAAUAUAAAGAUCUCAAUCUUUUAAAAAUAUUUUAAUUAGUAUAUUAAUUUUUUAUAUGAAAAAACAAAAAAUUAUAAUUUUUUAUAAGUUUAUCUUUGAUAUACAGAAAAAAAUAAUUUAAAAAUAUUUGGUAUACAAAAUAUAAAAAUGCAUCUAAAAUACAUAAAUAAUGGUAAUAUAAUCAAUAAAAAUGUUAGUUAGUUUGAAUUAGUUAAAUGUUUCAAAAAUAAAAUUUGGCUAUGAAAACGAAAGAUUUUAUUAAAUUAGUGUGAUGUUUAUAAUAUAUUAAAUAUCUAUAUUAACAUUUUUGAAGUACCUUUUGUGUUCUACCUUUUUAUUUUGUGAUAUUUUCAUAAUUAAUCCCUUGCCAUUUGAUUAAAUAGAAAAAUUUUAAGAUAAAUUUUAUAAUUAAAUCAUAAUAAAAUUGUAAAAUUAGAAAUCAAUAUUUAUUACAUUUAAUAAAUUUCCUAAAAUCUCUCCCUUAUAAAUCAAAUACUUCUCCAACAUCUUUAUAUGAUCUUAUUUGUUUUUAAAUUUAUAUUAAUACAUAAAUAUAUGUAUAGUAAAUAUAGAAUUUUGUUUUUGCAUAUGUUGCAAUUUGAAUUUUUAGAAACGGAUGUAUAUUACUCAAAAGAAACAAAAAUGGAUGUACUAAAGUAUUGUUGAUAAUUGUGUAGCACGGGUCAUGUUAGGCCUGGACAUUCGGUUAACCAUUCGGUUUUGGUUCGGUUGUGUUCGGUUUCGGUUAGUAUGGAUAUAGUAAUAUAAUAACCAUUCGGAUAUAGUAAUAUAAUAACCAUUCGGAUAUUUUAGAAAUUUCAGUUCGGUUAGUCUUCAAUUCGGUUUGGUUGUUAACCGAAUUAACCGAUAAUUCCUGUGAAUUCAAACUCAUCCUGCUAAUGUUAAAAGUCUUAAAUUAAAACACCAAGUGAGUAAAAGGAAAAGAAACAAAACAUCCAAGUCUAACUACGAACUAAGUUGAGAUAAGAGAAGGACAUAGUUCUAAGUUUGAAAAACAAAACAAAAGAAAAUCUAAGUUUAAGCCGAGAUAAGAGUGAGAGAAGAAGUAAAACAAAGUUGAUCAGACCAAAGCUUUGCCAUUCCCAUGAAGUAAAGAUUGAUGAGUCCUAUUGUGUCCUCCAAAGCAACCAAGUAACCAAACAUCUAUUCAAUUGAACAUACAAGGUAAACAUAUAAUCAUAUAUCAUAUGUAUAGAUUCGGUUUUUUCGGGUUUAUUUCGGUUAUCAGUUAGUAACCGAAACCGAACCUAACCCGAAUUUUGAGACAUAUAAUAACCAAUCGGUUAUUUGAAGAUAACCGAAACCGUUAACCGAAACCGAACCGAUUCGGUUAAUCGGUUCGGUUAAUCAGUUAUUGGUUAUUUAGGCCAGGCCUAGGUCAUGUGAUGGAACGGAUUAUAAUUUACAUAAUUAUUAUUAUAGAUAUUUUUACGGGUGGUUUACUAUAGUAUAACUCACAAAAUAUUUUAAUAUGAAAUUAUACUAUGUUAACGAAUAUUAUGUCAAUAUCAUUUCAUUAUUUUAGAUAUUAUACUUAUUUAAUUAAUUUGAUCAAAUUACGAUUAUAUAAACGAUAAAUUAUCAUAUAAUAUUUUACGGGUUGAAUCAUAGAAUUAACAAUCAAAAUAUAGUUGUACACUCUUUUAUACCAAACAAAAUUAAUAAAAAGAAUACAUUUUAGGAAUAUCAUCCCGCGGUGUACCGCAAGUUAAAAUCUAGUUUAUUAUUAUUUUUUAUAUUUCCUAAUAUGUUAAAUGAAAGAUUUUAAUCAGAAUUAAAAAAUAGUAUAUGAAAGGAGGUUUCAAAAUUAUUCCAAUCUUUAUCAAUUUGAAUUACCUAUAAAAAAGAAUAAUAUUUUAUCAGUAGCAUAAAUAAUGCAAAACUAUAGAGAUCCAUAUUGUAUAUCUAGAAAUGGUUAUAUUUGAAUUUUGAAAAAAAAAACCCAAAGGUGUUUUCUAUAAGAAUUCAAUUUACUAACUUACAAACCCAAAACAUCGACACCCUCUCCUCACAAUAUAUAGUCAUACAUUUGUUGAAUAAGGGCAUCCGUUUUUUAUUUCCAACUUUUACAUUUUAUUUUGAGUUUUUUCUUAUGAUUUAUCGUUUACUAUUUUUUCUUUUUUAUCGUAUACUAUUUUAGUUUAUGGUCUCUUAUUCAAUAUGAUGUAUGUUAAUUUUUUAUUUUAUUUUUUAUAGGAUACAAGUAUAUAAAAAUCUUUCAAACUCAUAUGUUCUUAUGUGAUACAUGUAUAUACAAACUUUCGUUAAAUAUUAUACUUUUCAUGAUUCUUUUUUAAAUACACGGGUUUUUGCUGAUUGGUUCGUUACCACAUAUAUUGUGAGUAUAUAAUUUCUUUAAUACACGUUUUUAUUUACUUUAUUAAAAUAUUAUAUUUAAUUUCCGAAAACACACUUUUCUCAAAUAAUUGAAACCAAAUAUACAUUUGGAAAUAAGAAUUGUUGAUACUAAAAUAAACGAAAUAAUAACACAUACGACAAAACACGUUAAAAUAAAAUAAAAUAAACCUAGCAUAUGUGACAAAGUACACAUUCACGAUAGUACAUAUUCUCAUACUUGCCAAAUUCAACACCAACCAUCCAUUUUAACAAUUAAAAGUUUACGUAAUUCGGAAAAAAAUAAAAACCGACAUUUUUCCCCCGCGCUGUAGCGCGGAUCCGAGCCUAGUAGCUAGUACAUUACAUUUUAAACUUUCCAUACCAUUAUUUCAAUUUUAUACAUUCAUACUAGCUAAAACCAUACAGUAUAUCCCACUUUUUCUAUUAAACCUUAAGAUAUAUAUAUAUAUAUAUAUAUAUAUAUAUAUAUAUACAUCUUUCAUCAGUAUCAUUUUAGAGCACUUGAUAUCUUUUGUAUUCUCAAUAAAUUAACAUACCUAAUUCAUGAUGAUCACCAAUUCAAAAUGUACAAUAUGUCAAAACCUUGUUUCGUAUAAAAGGUUUUCUCAUCUUAUUAAGUUUUGUAGGCUUAGCCUUAUAUACACGAGUACAAAAUAACCAAACUAUACAGCAAGUAUAUAUUAAUUACAUAAUACUUCCCUCUUCAAUACAAUACAAUUACAAAAAUAAAAAAUAAGUUUCUGAAUAUGUGGUAAUUAAUUUUACCCUUAGGCGUCAAUUAUUUUGAAUGCUUAAAGUUUAAAGUAUGUUGGAUGGAAACAGAAACAGAUACGUGGAAACGAAACGUUUCAGAAACGAGAAACAUAUUUUUCAUAAAAUUAAGAUAUGAAAACGUUUUGGAAAUGCUAAUAUAACACGUUAAUCUUAAAUAUAUAUGCUAAAUAGUUUAACUAAAACUAAAAGAUAAAUAUUAAAACACAGAAAUCCAUAAAUUCAGAUAUUUAUAUAUCAUAUAUUAUUGUGUAGAUAUGUAUUUAAUUAAUUUAAUCAGGUUUUAAAGGUAUAAAAGUAAUUACUUUAUAUAUCAUAAAUAAAAAUAUAUGUUUAUUGAGUUUCUAACUAAAAGUGUAAUAUUUCAUCGGGUUUCCAAAAUGGAUUUACGAGUUUCUAUCGUGUUUCUAAAUAAAUAAAAUUAGGAACCGUGUUUCCGUUAUAGUUUCCGAGUUUCAAAAAGUUUCUGUUUCCAAAACGUUUCGGAAACGGAAAACUCACUUCGAAAUGAGUUUCUAUGCAACCUAGACUCUAAACUAAGAAACUGGAGGAAAGACAAUUGAUAUAUAAAUUUAUGUGUAUAGAUAUGUUUUUUUUGUCUUCUGUUUGUAACUAUCUUAGAGAGCCGCAUUCCAUGUAGAAAAUUUAAAGUCGGUGAAUUCAAUAUUCCAAAGUUUAAAUUCUCUUCGGGUUUGACGCCUCAAAUAUUUUGAAAGGAUCAUCUGUUUCAGUUGGUGGUUACUGAGAACAUAACAGGAGUGAUUCUGUUCAUCGGCCAAGUUCUUGAUCCGUUGCAUUGAAAACUAAUUUGGAGCUAACUACUGGUUCACUACAAGAAAACAAGGCAAAAACCUACCAAUUUUCCUACCAAACUAGUGGUAGGAUAUAUUUCCUACCAUUUAUCUAGGAAUUUUUUACGAAAAACGAAUGUUGUAGGAAAUUAGAAGUAUAUUUCCUAUAAAACUUUUUUGUGAGAAAGUCGUAAGAAAAUAUCCUACGAAAAUCCUACCAAAAGUAAUCAAUAAAUGAGCUGUGUCUUUACGAGUGGUCUUUAAUGUGUGUAAUAAUAAUAACAUCCUUUGUCUUAUAGCUCAUAAUGCCUCAUAUAUAUAACUAGAAAGCUGCCCACGCGAUGCAUGAGUUAUAUAUGAAAUAUUAAUUUGAAAUAUAAAUUGAAAAUUACAACAGUAUCUAUAUUAACAUUUUUUAAGUACCUUUUGUGUUCUAUCCUUUCAUUUUGUGAUAUUUUCAUAAUUAAUCCCUUGCCAUUUGAUUAAAUAGAAAAAGUUUAAGAUGAAAUUUAAAAUUGUAAAAUUAAAAACCAAUAUUUAUUACAUUUAACAAAAAUUUCCUAAAAUCUCACCCUAAGAAAUCAGAUAUUUCUCCAGCAUCUUUAUAUGAUCUUAUCUGUUUUUAAAUUAUGUUAUUACAUAAACAUAUGUAUAGCAAAAAAAUAAUUUUUUUUUGCAUAUGUUGCCAUUUGAAUUUUUUGAAACAGAUGUAUAUUACUCAAACGAUACAAAAAUGGAUGUACUAAAGUAUUAAUGAUAAUUGUUUAGCACGGGUCAUGUGAUGGAACGUGUUAUAAUUUACAUAAUUAUGAUUAUAGAUAUUUUUACGGGUUGUCUACUAUAGUAUAAUUCACAAAAUAUUUUAAUAUAAAAUUAUACGAUGUAAACAAAUAUUAUGUCAAUAUCAUUUCAUUAUUUUAAAUAUUAUACUUAUUUAACUAAUUUGAUCAAAUUACGAUUAUGAAAAAAAAUUAUCAUAUAAUAUUCUACGGGUUAAAUCAUUGAAUUAACAAUCAAAAUAUAGUUGUACACUCUUAUAUACCAAACAAAAUUAAUAAAAAUAAUACAUUUUAGGCAUGUCGUCCCGCGGUGUCUAAAACAUAAAACAUAAGUAAUUCUUACUUACAUCUAGUAGUUUAUAAGUAAUUGUUAAUAUAAAACAUAUUUGUGUACAUUAUAAACAGUAAAAGUAAAUAAAAUACAUAUUUGAAAAAUAUAAAACCGAAUGAGAUCCAAAAAAAGUAAUACAAAUUAGCACAUACAUAAUAUAGUAGGCUACUGUAAAUUGAUGUUAAUUUUUGUGUGUGUACAUUGUUAAUAUUAAAAGUAAACAAAACUCACAUAAUUUAUGAGUAUUGUUUUUUUAAUUGAAUGUUGAUAAGAAUAUCAAGCUAAACUUUGCAAAAUAUCAAUUUAACAUAUUUCACCUGAGAUAUAUGAUCUUUAAGACCUUAUUUAGAAAAGCAUUUUCAAUUUAGAAAAUAUUUCACCUGAGAUAUAAGAGCUUUUAAACCAUAAUUAUGUAAAACACUAAAAAGAUAAAGCAAAAGCCAAAUGAACACUAUUAUUUGAGAAAAAGAACUUUGAUAUUUUCAUUCUAAUUGAUUGGAAAAGAAGCUCACAUAUACGUAGAUGAGAUCCUUUUUUAUAUAUUAAGAUUUUUGUAUGUAGAAUUUGUUCAAGAAUAAAACUAAUAUUGAAACCAUUUAAGAACAAACAUAAAGAUUUACAUUACUAUAAAAGCUAAAGAAAGGAAUUUAUAUUAAAAAGGCAUCACAUGUUUACAUCAGCAUUAACAAAGAAGAUGAACGAAGAUGAAUUGCUCUUAAGAAAUCAAUUAUGUUCGGUCUCUCUAGGAAAAUCUAAUUUGGGUUAGAUAUUUAUAUUGUUAUGAAAAGAAAGACUAUUAUUUAGAACAAAUGAUUAAGUUACUAAAAAUGUAGAGUGGAUAUGAUAUUAUUGUAUAACUCAUACUUAUCAAAUAUCAUAAUUUAAUAGAAUUUUAGUGAAGCUCACUAAUUCACUGUCUACUCAAUUGAUGAAUGAAUUAAACUAAAUUUAAAAUUUAUGAAGUGUAUGAUUUAAAAAAAAAAACAUUUCAAUACCAAUUUUUUAAAACCAAGUACUUUUUAUUUAUUUUUAAACAAUUAGACCUCAAAUUUUAAAUAAAUUAAAUAUUAUAACAAUCUUUAUAUAAUAAUCUAUUGGAUCACAAACUAAAUAUAAUUAUACACAUAUUGAAAUGAAUUACAAAAAAUUAUUUGAGAUUUAAAAAAAUAGAAGAAGUUAUUUGUUAAAGGUUUAAUUUGAAAAUUUUAUGUAUAUAGCAAUCAAAACUUUUAUUUUACAUAUGUGUUAUAUCAUACUUUCUUCAUUCAUACUCAUAUGUAUGAAAAAUAUGUAUAAUAAGGCAGUAGAAGAGGAGGAGGGAAUGAGAAAAUGAGAAAAUGAGUAUUUAUAAGAUGAGAAGUGAUGAGAGUUACAAUUUAGAAGAAAAAAUUGUGGGAGUUAAUUCUAAUUUAUUGCGUGUUGACUGAAAUUGAGUAGAAAAAUAUAGUAAAUGCAAAUUUAUAUUAUUUCAGUUUUUAUAUUAAAGUGUGAGUUAAAUGUAUAUAUUUUUUUUGGUGAAAAGUUAAAUGUAUAUAAUUAAUUGUGUUUUAAUUGAAUAUAUAUUUUUGCUUUUAAAUUAAAGUAUGAGAUAAAUAUAUAUGAUCAAAUUUUUUUUUUUGUGGCUUAAUUAAAAUAAUUUCUUCUUCAGUUUAAUAUUAAAGUGUGAGUUUAAUAUAUAUAACUAAAUGUGAUAUGAGAUUUUAUUAUAAAGUAAUCUUUUUUUUUGGCAAAAGAACUUUAGGUAUCAAAAGUUGGAUUCAGAAAUAGAUGCCAAGUUAUAUUUAUAGGAAAAAAAACUUUAGUUAUUACACAUAUGAAUUUUGGAUCCCAAUUAAUAAUUUUACUCAUAAUAUUUUUUUUCAUAUAUGAUUAUUUGGAAUUAAUAUUGACAUAAAUGUUUUAGUCAAAAAUAAAAAUAAAAACAAUUAAUGAAUAAAAAAGGAUGACACAUGUCAUCAACAGAGAGCGCCAAAUGUCGUAACGUGGUGAAAAGUUAGAAAAAACCUUGUUAUAUUAUAUAAGAUGAAAACAAAUAAUCAAUAUGAUAAUUCAUAUCUAUACUAUUAAUUGGGGAGCAUUAUUUGUCUUUGUUGCCAAACAAACUUGAAAAAAAAAAAUUACAAAAUAUACAAUCCCAACCAUGUAGCCAAACACACUAAAAGACAGUAAAAAUAUUUAAUUAAAUAAAUAAAAAUAAAAAACUAAGACUAUCUAUAUUUAUGGAAAUCAUAUUAAUUUUGUUACCAUAAAAAGUGGAAAAUUAAACUGAUAAUUCAUAUAAUACAUUAAAAACUGAUACAUCACUUAUAAUGGGAAAUACAUAAAAAUUGUCCAUCACACGUUAUUUAUGAUGUUAUCACACAAACUUCGUCGAACACAACAAUUAUAUAACAACAAUGCGUUAAUGAGCUCUUCGUUGCUUGCUUCGGCCAAAAACCUUCAUGAACCACUCAUGCUUGUACGAAACCACUAUGUGUCCCAUCACUAAUCCAAAUACAACUCCAGGUGCAAAGCCUAAACAUGCUGCCAUCCAACUAAAUGCUUCUUCUUCUUCUUCUUCUUUCGUCUCCACCUGUUCCGAUUGUGCUGGUGUCGGUGCUUUGAUAUCUCCACAAACAUCCUUAAGGGAAAAAGCAUUAAGCCCCAGGUUUCCUUCAUAGGAGGAGCAUUUUUGUCGUUGAAACUGUGUGCCUUGUGGUAUGGAACCUACAAGCUGAUUAUGUGAAACAUUUAUCACUUCCAGAGAUGAGAGGGUCCCAAGUUCAGGAGGAAUCUCACCAGAAAUCUUGUUUUGGGAUAGGUCGAGUGACUCCAGAUUCGUCAAAUUUGUCAAAGUAGAUGGGAUGUGCCCCGUGAAAGCAUUGCUUGACAUGUUGAGAAUAUGAAGUUCCUUCAACAGACCAAUGGAAUCAGGAAUUGGUCCAUGGAGUUGAUUUCCUGAAAAAUCAAUGGCUGUGUAGGUUGUAAGGAUACGUUCCAUCUCCAUUGACACUCCUUUAUUCAUCAACACAAGUGAGUAGUAGCCUGCUUCUGAAGGAUUCCUAAUGUACUCAGGUUCCAUAUUAUUAUCUCUCUUGGAGUACAUCACAGUCCAAUUCAAAAAGUAAUCUGAUGGCAAUGUACCGGAGAAGUCAUUGUGUGAUACAUCAAUGAUUUUCAGAUGAGGAAAUCCAAACCAAACCCCAUCAGCAUUACGUAAUGUACCAUGAAACCUGUUAGAGUGGAGGACAAGGACUUGAAGUUUCUGCAGAGAAUUCAAGUGGAAGGGAAACAUGUCUUUGAUUGUGUUGCUUCCCACGUUCAAAACUUCCAAAGCAGAGCAACCAACAAGAGAAGCUGGUAUUUUUCCCUCUAAUCGGUUGUGACUGACGUCAAGUGACGUUAAGCUCUUGGCGUUCCAAAAUAUUUCAGGAAGAAUUCCGCUGAGUAUGUUGUUACGGAGAUUUAGGUAUAAAAGAGAACUCAUUUUCAUAGUCUCUAAACACCAGGUAAUUGAACCAUGGAGGUUGUUGUUUGAUAGAUCUAGGACCUCUAGAGAGCUUAGUCCACAUAUUGAUUGAGGGAUCUCUCCAGUGAAGUUAUUCUUAGAACCCAAAAAAUAUAGGAGAUGCUUGGAGGAUGGGAUGAAGAGUGGUCCUUGGAAAGCAUUUGAUCUUAGAUCAACAGUAUUGAUUUGACUCUCCGGAGAAAGUUCUAAGGAUCCAUUGAAACCGCUGAGAGAGUUGUUAGAGAGAAACACAUACUCCAAUUUUGGCAGUCUCCACAACCAGUCUGGUACAUGACCUUUCAUUUUGUUGUUGGAAAGAUCUAAUUGUUGUAGAUUUCUUCCUUUUCUUAUGAACUCAGGGAACUCAGUGAUGUUGCAGCCACUCAAAAUUAAAUCUUCCAAACUUGAUGGGAAAUCCGAAUCAAGAAUGAUGUUUGUUGUUGAAAGAGGGAUGCCCGAGAGAUAUAACCAAUCUAGCUUCUUGAGAGGAAAGAAGACAUUUAAGUUAACUUCUGAAUCAAAGACUUUGUUGUGAUUUUUAUUCUCAAUAGAAAUUUCUUGUAAAUUAGGUAACAAAGAGAUAUUUGAAAUCCCAGCAAAGUCGUUGAAUUGGUUAUAACGCAAAAAGAUUUCGGUCAAAGAGGGAAUCUUGACUAGGGAUGAAAGAAUGGCUCCUUUAAAAGAACUGUCAUCAGCUGAAAAAUACUCUAAUUUGGAGAAUCGACUAAUGAUUGGUGGAAGAGAACCUGUGAACUGAUUGUAAGAGAGACCGAGUGAACGUAGUUGGGUAAAAUUGAGUAUUGAAGCUGGCAAGUUUCCACUGAGCUUGUUUACGGAAACAUCAAAAAUGGUCAACUGUUUUAGAUUGCCAAUUGAAGAUGGAAUUUCACCAACAAGAUUAUGAUUCCAACUAAGAUCGAGUAUAGAGAGAUGAGAAAGGUUCCCAAGUGAAAAUGGAAUCUUCCCUGUGAAAUGAGAAAAGGAAAGAGUCAAAGAAAUCAAAUGUUUGAGGCUGCUAAUGGAGUCUGGUAUGGGACCAGAAAAGGAUGUUUCUUUAAUGGUCAGAUGUAGCAAAGAAUUAUUCUCACGAAAAUCAGGAAGAUUGCCUCUCAAAUUUGGAUUGAAUCUUAAUCUAAUGGACUGUAGGCUGGGUAUCAGAAGAACACUACUUGGAAAUUCUCCAAAGAGGCUGCAAUUUCUAAGAUAUAGUGACCUUAGAGAUUGCAUGUUUGAAAACUCAUGGGGGAUUUCUGAAGUAAUGUUUACACUGCUCAUAUCUAGUUCUCUAAGAUUCCUCAAAUUUUGAGCAAGUAGAUGAAGAGAAGCUUUAUCAAUAGAUAAAGAAGAAGAGGAAUCAUAAUAAAAACUAGAAGAAAGAUCAAGAGAGACCAACUUGGUUAGCUUAAAAAGGUUGAUUGGAAUUUGGCCUGAUAGGGAAGAAUCAGAUAGGUUAAGUCUUUCUAGCCCCAUGAGUUUAUCAAACUCAGCUGGGAUUGGCGAAUUGUUGAAAUCGUUGCCAGCAAGGUUCAGAUCACGGAGAUGACGUAGUCUAUAAAGACUACUGUUGGAUUUUAGCUGGCCAUAUAGGUGGCUGGAACUAAGGUCAAGCCUUAUAACUUUGCCCGACUUAGCAUCAUCACACGCGAUACCAUCCCAAGAACAACAAUCACUUUUGUUCACCCAUGAUUCUGUCUUCGGAUAAGCGGAGUCUUGUACAUUACCGAAGUAAGGUUUCCGGAUCAAAAACUCACUCUUGAAAUCAAGAAGAACAUCUCUUUGGUCAGGCUGGCACAAGUGUCGUGUAGAAGAAACAAGCAUGUUUAGAAAACUCAAAACGAGAAAAAGGAAAGAGAUGGAACGAAGAAUGAAGCUCAUUCUCAGAUUAGAUAACAAAGCUUCCAUAUUUUUGAAACUGAAAAAAGUAGUGAUGGUAAAUUAGUGUUUCAUGUCACUACACAUAUAUAUACAAAAAAACAAACACAUUAAUUGACUUUACGGUCCCUAUUCCUUUUGAUGAAAAACGCUCAUUACUAAAAAACAAUCUCAUGAGUCCUUCCAAAUCUAAUAGACUUGACUAAAAAAAAGCAUAAAAACAAGAUUGCGACUCGACUACUAAACUCGUGUAACAUGUUUUAGAAAAUUUAGAACAAAAAAAGCAUUCUCAAUGAACAAAGUUUAGUGAGGGCAAAAGUCGUUGAAAAAUCAAAGUGCCGAGUAGAUGGGACUUGUGGCAUUUUGCUAUGAAAAUGCUUGCCAAGUCGUGCUCUGUCCAUUAUUAACCUAAAAGAAAAACGCCAAUAUAAGAGUCUUAAAAGGUAGUGGAAAAAUUAAAGGAAACGAAACUGGUAAGACUAGUUUGGCAUUACUAAGACUAGUUUAAAAUCUUUAUUGUGAACCAAAAAAAUCAGAAAAUUAUUUAAAACUUUUAUUGUGAACCAGAAAAUCAGAAAAAAAAAAAAAAAAACAGACUGAUUAUAAGUUUUGGUUAUGUCUCGCACUUAGGAAUCAUGAUCAUGUAACAGAGUGAUGCAACACACUUAUCACAAAUGAAGCGUAUUUUCUAAAAUCCAAAAAUCGAAAUCUGAAUAUAAUCAAACUGAACAAGCGAAAUAUAUAUUUUUAUUAUUAUUUUUUAGAGGUUUUACUGUAAUCAAACUGAACAAGCGAAAUAUAUAAUUUUAAAAAUGAAAUAUAUAAUUUUAGAGGUUUUACUGUAAUCAAACUGAACAAGCGAAAUAUAUAAUUUUAGAAUACCUUCAUUAGUAUGGCAUACAUUCACACACACAUGUGCAAGCUAUCUAUUUCGAACCGUGGUUGCACCUAACAAAGGUACCACUGAACUAGACAGAAUAGCUGCAGUUAUUGAAGAUCUAUCAAAAUUAUAUAUCCGUUGAUCCAUAUAACAUCAUACAGACGUUGAUGGCAUCGUGUUUUGCAAUCAAUGUAACAUUCACAAUUGAGACAUGUUCAGAAAACCAAAACCUUUUCCAUAUAAUGGGUUCUUUACGAUGGUUGCUUUCUCAUUCUCGAGAUGGUAAAUAUGAAUGAAGUGAUGGAACACACUUGUAAAAUACACCAAGAACAUCCCGUCCUAAUCCUAAAGCCACUCGGAAAGACUGCCACGACGUUUUUUUUCCUCAUCGUAGCGAUGCUUUCUCUGGUCUAAUAAUUCAAGUCGUCUAGUAAUCCAAUCCGGUAAAUCUGAGCUAAGCCAGAGAGCUUCACCUGUAUCUUUGUGCUUAAAGUCAGGUUGCUUCGGGUACUUCUUAUUUCUUCUGUUGUCCCACCACUCGUAUGGAUUCGCAAAGAAGACUUGCCACAAGUAUAUCUCAUCAUUCUUGGAUUCUUCUAUACCAUCUUCUAAGGAAACAUCAAAAACACACAAGUUCAUGUCAGCGGGAAAUUUGUCAUCUUUUCUCACAAAGUAACACUCAAAAUAACGAAUAAACUUUUUUAUAAACCCGAGUACCCGAAACCAAAAGCUAUAAAACAUGUUUCAAUGUGGGUUCAUAUACAAUUCCAAUAGAGGGAUUGAUGAAUAGCAGAGAUAAUAACCUGCUGCUGCUAUUGGUUUUUCAGAUAUCUGCGAAUCUAAGACAUGACUUGGUGGAACCGCCGCAUAAUUCACCUCUGUCACAUUAACCUGCAAUCAAACACAAUUGACAAACCUGGUGAUUUUUAAGCAACACAGAAGACAUAUUAUUAACAUUACAGAUACAUGAAGUUAAUAAGAUAUAUGUAAACAGAUCUCGACUACACAAGACAUCAGGAGAAGCUGGUGGAAGUAGUAGGGUUUGAGUUAAUAUUUACGGUCAAGAAGAAAAAAGUACCUGGUAACCAAUAUCUAAGCCGCAAGAUUCAUCGCUGGAGCUCUUGCUGUAAGAAACAAGACGGCCUGAGACAAGAAUGUGAUCAUUUGGCUUCAGAUGCGCAAUACACAUCCGUGCCAUUGCAUCCCACAUACUAAGAUAUAUCCUGUCAUUGAAAUUGCAUAAUCACAUUAACAAAGACUAAUACAAAAGUAAACCAUGAAAUGGCCAUAACGAAUGUGAGAAUCAUUCAGUGUUUGAGCUACAUUAAUUGUUUAUUGCAAUCAAGAAUAAACCACUCAUCAAUCUUCAAAUGUAUCUAAGACUUUAUCAAUCACAAGGCUUAGGAACAGUACAGGAUUAUGCAUAGAUCAUAACUAAACAUCAAUAAGGCUAAGUAAUCCAUAGAAUCAGAUUCUAAUCCCAAACUUUAGAAACCCUAAUUGUAGAUUAAGCAACAUACUAUGAACAAACUUAGAUUACAUAAUCUAAGACUUCAACAAUCACAAGGCUUAGGAACAAUACAAGAUCAUGCAUAGAUCAUAAUCAAACAUUAUUAAGGCUAACGAAUCCAAAGAAUCAGAUACUAAUCCCAAAAUCUAGAAACCCUAAUCGUAGAUUAAGAAACAUACUAUGAACAAACUUGAAUUACAUAAUCGAAACCACCAAAACGCAAACCGAACAAACCUGACCUAAAGCUCUGGUUCGGAUAGAUCGGGUGUUUCAGUCUAAGCAUAGUGUAAACACCGAACCUAUCAGGUCCAGUGUCGAUGACUCGUAUGGGUCGAUCAACGAAACCAAUAAGGCUAACGGAGUUGGAAUGAUUGAGCUUGAGCUUAAUCGAUAAUGGUUUCUUGAACAAACGCGCGUGGUGAUAAACCGCACUUUCUCCAUCGGAGAAGAAACGAGAUUUGGGGAAAGGAGAAGAGAUUUUAGAAGCAGUGCGUUGGAUCAAGCUUCUGAAUUUGAAGAACGUGUUCAUCUACUCGAGAUGCGAAUCUAGGGUUUAACUUGGCGGGCAUUUUUUUUUGUUUCUCUUGCUGAUUUGAUCUUUCGGAGACAGAGGAGGUCUCGAGUUUCUUGUUAUUGGGUUUUGAUUGUAAUAUUUGAUUUUAGGCCCAUUAUGGAUUUAGCCCAUUAGAUUCUGAUCUGUUGAUAUGCAUCUUUUUUUUUUAUUAUUAUCUAAAAACCAUUGUGAAAUGUGAGAAAGAGGGAAAAAAACCUAGUAAUCAAUUAUUGUAAGAGACAUGAUCGACCAUUCCAUGUGAUUUUGAUUAGAAGACAAUGGAAUCUCACAAAUAAUAGUCUUACCAUAAGAACUUUUUGAAUUUCAAAGUAAUGUGAUAUUUCUAUAGUCAAUUUUCUCAAAAUGUUACACAACAUUAUUUACCAUGAAGUUAUAUUUGAUACUCAAAUUUAUUUCAUUUUAUACAUUCAAAGAUAUUUUAGACUUUACCGUGAAUUUCUCAAAGGGUUACACAUAUCGUCUUACCAUAAGAUUAUAUUAGAUAGUCAAACUUAUGUCGCAUUACCUAGUCAAAGAUUUUUUGACUUUUGCGAUCAAUUUCCUAAUAUCUUUCAUAAUUAUCUGUUUAUAAAAUUCUCUUCCAUAGUCAAACUUAUGUCAUGUUAUCUAGUUAAAUAUAUUUAGAAUUUCACAAUGUAUCUCCAAAAACGUUACAAAACUUUUUAUCUAGUCAAAAUAUUUCAAAUUUCACAAUGAAUACCUCAAAGAUUACAUAAUUAUCUUGCCAUAAGAAUCACCAUUUGGAAGUCAAACUUCUUCAGUCAAAAACAUUUAAUAACUUUGACUCAAGUUAUUGAUAAGAUUUUGAGGGUUUCUUAUAAGAGUAAGGAUAACUGUUGUGAUUUUUUCCAACUCCAAUUGAAAGCCUCUCUCCAGCUCCAAGGUACCACAUCUCUGAGUGUUGUGAUUACAACUUCUUCGGCUAGACUAAAAUGAUUAUUAUCAAUGGAUGUAGACUUGAAGAAUCCGAAAGACGUUGUAAUGUUUUAGGAAAUUUUGUUUACAUGGUAAGGUGAAACGAAAAAAAAGAAGAGAUCUUAAGUUCUCCUAUUUUACUAAACCAUGCAUCCAAUAUUUUCUUGAAAUAUUUCAACUUCUUUCGGAUUCUUCAAGUUUACUAUAGUCAUCAAAGAUCAUUACAAACCUUCUCACAUAAUCAACACAUCUGAUCAACACGAAUAAUUACUCAAUAGAUGUUCUUGUCGAAUCAAAACAUCCACAUUUAAUAGAUUCUUUGAAUCACGUUGUUAAGGUUUCCAUGGCUGCCUUGUCUUAGCUAAUUGAAAUAUUCUCUACUUUCAUGAUUUUGCUUUUUUUUGGAGCUUUUUAAAACAAUAAAUUUAUUUAUUUUGUUUUACCAAUAUAAAUUAUUAUUUAUUAUUCGAAUUAGUCAGAGCUCGAAGAAUAUUUAACCGAAUUUAGUAAAAAUUAGCUAUAGAUCUAUUUUUCAAUCAACUAUUCGAACCGACCAGAACCCAAAAAAUACAGACUAAACCAAAAUUUCAAAAUACACAUUCAUCGUAUUGAAAAUAUCUAAAACCAGAAAUAACCGACCAAACCCGAACCGAUUAUAGUAACCUCAUUAGUCAUUCCUAAAUUAGAGAGUGACAUUAAAAAAAAAAACACAUAACGAUUUAAAGCGUUCGUCGUGAAACGCAAUUUUAAGUUUUUAAUCUCCAAAAAAGCGUUUUUUUGGUACUGUUACCACUUACCAGUAAAAAGAGGAUAAAAUACAAACAAAAAAACAAAAAACAUCCAACCAAAAAAAAAAAAAAAAAAAAAAAGAAAGAGACAAAGACACAACGGGCGAGAGAGAGAGAGAGAGAGAAAGAACCAAACAAAUUCGUUUUUUUUUUUUCUUUCCCCUUUCUCUCUCACACUCUCUCAUCUUCUUCUUAUGAUUUUUCAACUUAUUACAAAACAAAGAUAGCAAAAAAAAAAAAAAACACAAAUCUUCAAAGUUGCAGUCUCAGGUGGUUCUCAGUUAAUGCUAACGCGUAAUGGCUGAAUCUAUCUCCCAAUUUCGUAAGUCACAUUCCCACAAAACUCUUCUCUGUGUUAAUUCUGAAAUUAAAAGAAAAAAAAAAAAAACUGAAUUUGCUGUUUCACGACUACAUUGCCCUGAUUCAUAGGCUCUGAAUUUCUCAAAUUUAGGGUUUUUUUUUCUUGGUGGUUUCUCUUUUGUCUGAAUUGUCGGUGAAAUUGAGAUCUUUGAGCAUAAGGGUUUGUUUAUUUCUUAGUCUUUAUUACUUUCCUUAAUCUAUUUUGAGCAGAUCUGGAACAUAAACCCUAGAAACAGAACCAUAUCUAUUGUCCUCCUAACUCUUAGGGAUUUGUAGUGUCUCUCUCUGUUGAUAUAUCUUUAAUGUGUUUCUAAAUUGACAGUGCUAAAUGGGUCACACUUGAUUUGUAAUAAAAGUUCUCAAUUCUUCCACUUUCAGUAAUGUUUCACUGUUUCAAGUUACAUUUUUCAAGAUUUACUAUUUUGGGGAAUUAGAUUUUAAUUUGGAUCUUUGGUCUCUUUACAUCAGCUUAACCAUGAUUCAGUUCAAUGAUGUUUUCAACUGUUCAUCUUAAUUGGAAUCAUUAGCUUCUUCUUUUGUUUUUUUUUGGUUAGUUGUAAUGAGUUGUUGAACCUUUGACUUGUCUCCUAAUCUCUUACUUAAUCUAUCUGUAUCAUCUUCUUCUGUCUAUUUCUCAUUAAUUUAUUACACAUACUCAACUACAUGAUACAUCUUAUUGUCUUCAUGAUUGCAUCUGACAUGGUAGCAACUCUUUUGGAACAUGACUUGAUAUUAUAACACUAAAACCUGCUCUCACACUUUUUUUCAUCUUCUUUUGAUCGUUGUAUAAUUGGGGUUGUAACUUUAGUGGAUUUGGCUAGGAUUACAAAAAAAAGAUGACUUGGCCUUUAUUAUGUAUUAAAGAUGGAAAAAUAUGAGACCAAUCUUGUUUAUUUUAAGAUGCAUGCUUUAUUAUAUUUAUGCUUUUGUUGUGUAUAACUGAUUGAAGCCGGCCAAGAGAGCUUGGUGCUGACUUUUUUAUGAGCUGUUGUUGUGUUUCAGCCAACCAGCAUAAGAUAAAAUUAAAUAGGAAAAGUUUUUCAUUUCGGUCUCUUAAGUUCUAUGAAAACAUAAUGUGGCUCAGAGGUCUUUGCUUGUGCACCUUUCACAAUCUUUUAUUGAUUGAUGUUGUUUAUAUACAGGAUAACCUCUGCUGAGGCAUCCAAGUGUUGAAGGGAGAGGAAGAGCCUACGCAGAAGAAAGGUCAGACUUUGAUUUGAAAUUGUGUGGUUAAUGUGAACAUCAGAGAUCAAAAUGUGUUUUCUAUCUUUGUUAUGUCUCGAAUCUUCAUUGCGAGUCCAAUAUUUGAACAAGAAUUUAUGAAUUUGCAGGUUGGUCAGAGUCGCUGCUAGAAUUUCGUUCAGAGGUUGGGGAAAAGAUGAAAUUUGUGUCAAAGAAACGAUGGAAGUCUCUUGGACCUCUUCAUCUGAAAAGCAAAUCAGUUGCUCGGUUUUGCUUCUUUUCGAAAUUGAAGUCAAACAACCAUGGUCCAGGCCGUGCACCAGUCUAUCUCAAUGUUUAUGACUUGACACCUAUUAACGGAUAUAUCUAUUGGGCUGGCCUUGGUAUAUUCCACUCUGGUGUUGAAGGUAAGCUUUAGGGGAUUGUGUUUUCUUGCUGCUAUGGUCUUAAGUGUUCAAAAGAUUUGCAUCUGUGGUGUACUUAUAGUUACUGCUGGCUAACUAUGAACAUUUGGUUUUGUGCACAGUUCAUGGAGUAGAGUAUGCUUUUGGUGCCCAUGAUUAUCCAACCAGUGGUGUUUUUGAGGUUGAACCAAGGCAAUGCCCGGGCUUCAAAUUCAAGAAAUCGAUAUUCAUUGGAACCACAAAUUUAAACCCAGCACAAGUUAGAGAGUUUAUGGAGGACAUGGCUUGUAGUUACUAUGGGAAUAUGUAUCACUUGAUUGCUAAGAACUGCAACCACUUCUGCCAGGACGUUUGUUACAAGCUUACCGGCAAAAAGAUCCCAAAAUGGGUGAAUCGGCUUGCACAAAUAGGUAAUGAAAAGGUCUACUGCAUUCUGCAUAUUGUUCAGUAACUCUGUUAGAUAUAUUCUGAAGACAAAGUUUGCUUUUUAUCUGCAGGGUCUGUGUGCAGCUGCAUACUUCCCGAGUCCCUCAAGAUAACAGCGGUUUGCCACGAUCCAGACGGGCAAAUCCCAGAAGAGGAAAAUGAAAAGCGAAGUCUUAGAAGCUCAUUCAGCUGUUUAUCCUCCAUCUCCAUGAGACAAAAACAGCUUUCAACAUCCUCAUUGUUCCUACAAUCACCUCUUAGAGGCUGCUUACCUCCAUGGCAACUCAAACGCUCGAAAUCUAACAGCAGUUCCUUGAAAGAAAGGUAGAAAAAUCCAACGGUUUCUCAUUCGUUACCUUAGCAACACGCUCCACGGUUUAUCUUUGUAAGGGAGUUCGAAAACAGAGUUCCCGAACCAUCAUCAGUCUCUUCCAUCUCUCAUUUUAUUUUUAACAGGCUUUUACAAGCCAUUCUUCUUCUUCCUCUACUCUCUGCUUGUAUUGCUUCCAAAUUUGAAUCUUUUAAAAUCAUGUAUUUGUCUCUCAACUCUGUUUAUAUAUCUAAAUUAGCUUAUCUUAGUUCAAACCCCAUUUCUAUUGAAAUCAAGAACAACACUGAAUUAAAAAACGAAACCUUUAUUCGAUAACCAUUACUAUAAAUCAAUCGAUAAACGAACGAUCAACAUCAUCAUCAUCAUCAUCAUCAUCAUCAACAACAACAUCAACAAGAAACCCAAUUCUUAUGAGUACUAACAAUAGCUGAAAACAAACCUGCUGAAGAAACCACACUAGGAGCAGAUAACACUCCCUUACCAUCACCAAUAUCCGAAAUCGUCAUCAAACCAUCAGCAAGAUCUUGCAAUAUAGAUAAAACCUUCAAUGUCUUCUUCUCCUUAAUCAUCUUCAUCUUCUCAUCUUCACCUUCACAACCAAUCCCUCUCGAAACCGAGAUCUCGAUCGUCGAAGCAACACAAGUCUCUUCAUCUCUCAAUCUCCUCAAAUCCCUAACCUUCAUCGAAACACUACCAACAUACCCAACCAAUUCAGCCCAAGCACUAAUCUUCUGAAGCAAUUUCGAGUAUUUCGCAUCGAUCAAUCCCGAUUUCGUCAACCAUAUGAACUGUUCGACGAAAUAGUACAGUCCUUCGCCACCGUACGCGAUCAGAAUCAAUACGAGUUCCUGAUUCGAUUCCCACCGCGAAGAUCUUAGUGCGUUGAUGUCUUGCACGAAUUUACCGAGACGGAAGGCUUUACGGCUAACUCCGACGCUUGAUUCGAAGGUUUUGAGACGAGGAACUAUGGAUUUGGUUUCUGGGAUUAGAGAUGAUGCGAGGAUGAUUUUGGUAGCGUAACGAGAGAUCUUUAAGAGUUUGUCUACGCCAUCUCGUUUGGAUAAGUAUGUUUCGAGAUGGUUUAGGAAAUCUCUGUCUUUGGGUUUUGGUUUUGCAGCCAUUGGAGAUAUUAUUGUUCCUCAAGGAAGAAGAAGAAGAAGAAGAAAGAUAACCAAAAAUCAAAAGUUUGAUUAAUUGGUUUGCGUGCCCGCACCGAUUUGUCCGGUUUAAAUGAUUGUGGUCAACCCAUAUCUAAAUUAUCUAUGAUGCACACCUUUAAUCAUUAAGAGCCGGAGUCGUUUAAACGCAGCAGUUGCAGCUGCGGUUACGGGAGUUUACGGAAGUAUACGGUUACGGUUUCAAGCGUUAUUAUACGUUUUGAAUGACUGAUUGAACGUUUAAAAAUAGAUACCUUUACGGGAGUUUUAUGAUUAAUUAACCAGCGCAAGCAAUAGCGAUUAAAUAAAAAAUUACAAAAUAGGUAUAAAUAUAGUUAGACAAAUAUAUAAAUAUACCAAAAUCUAUAUUAUUAUGAUAAAAUGUAUUAAAAAUGAAUAUGAUUGAUAACUAAUAAAAAGCCUUAUUACUGAAUAAUUAUUGAUAAAUAAUAAUUUUUUGAGAGAAUUUCAAAAAUACCUCUUUGCAUAUACCUCUUUUUAAAAAUACCCCAUUUUCAAACUUUAUCAAAAAACCCACUAAAAAUGUUGAAAUUUAUCCAAAUAUGUGUGUAAGCUUAUAAAUAUAUACACAAUUACCUUUAUAUGUGUAUAAAACUUCAUAUACCUUUCAUAAAUAGCGUAAAAAUAAAUUAUAAAAACCUUAUAAAAACCAUAUAAACCCUUUUAAAAACCUUUUAAAAGCCUUAUAAAACUUAUAAAAAUGAUUUAAAACUAUUUAAAACAUUUUAAAAUAUUUGUAUUGAAUCUCCCAGUAGUAGUUAUUAUAUAGAAGUACCUUAUAAACUAUAUAAAACUUUAUAAUUUUUUAUAUUUAAAAGGGGGUAUUUUUGAAAAUGGAUAGAUAAAAGGGGUAUUUUUAAAAAGAGGGUACACCAAAAGGGGUAUUUCUCAAAAAUUAUCUAAUUUUUUUAGUAGAAUAUAUUUAAGAAAAAUUAUUAAAAUUUUAAACAUGAUUAAUAAUAAUAAAAACAUAAAGAACUACUAGAUAUAAAUACUAAAUAAUCAUUCAAAUGUUAAAUAAAUAAAUUUUGUUUAGGUAACACAAAUCGAUACACAUUUUGUUUAUUAAAUGAUAAAAUUGAAAUUUGAUUUGAAAACUAUUAAGAUAGUUAAAUUAUUUUUCUGAAAAUUGAGAUUAAAAGAUUUUGAUAACACCCACAUUGCACUUGCACCGUAGGAUAUAUGGGUAAAGGCAUUUUUAAAUAAAAAAUAUUAUUUAAUUCAUGAAGUUUCAAAUUUAAACUAUUUAAAUCAUGAAUUUCUAUGUGGUGAUUCAAAACAUGAAAUUUUCGUUAACUUAAAUUGAAAACAUUAUUUUUUCAUUGACUAAGCCAAAAUAAACAUCAUAUCUUCAAAUUCUUUUUAAAUAUUUCAUUUAUAUCAAUACAAUUUUACGUUUCAAAAAGUGGUUAGAAACACACCAAAUAAUAAGAAAAAGGAGACACAUUUAGUUUUUGUUCAAAAUUCCUUCAAACUGAAUUUUAUACAUUAAGUUGAGAUUGGUUAUCGUAGUUUAAUUGAUAGUGCUUCAAUUUCGUGGACAACCUCGUGCGGACUCCUUGUCCUCUUUGUCAGUCAAAGAGUUUCUAUUCUAAUAUCUUUAAGUUGUUUAAUAUUUUUGUUGUUUUGAAUCAAAUAUAAAGUAAUGAAGGUAAUGAAUUUGAAAUAUGCCAUAGAAAAUAUGGCAUAGGAGCUAUUCUUGUAUUUUCAAAAUACUCAUCAACUUAAAACCAAAUGUAAUAGUAGUAAGCUAAAUUAUAAAUAAAAUUUGUUUUCUCUAUUCGAGUUUAUGAUUCUCUAUUAAUAAAAUAUAAUAAAAAAAGUAUACAAUAGUUCUAUAACAUCAGUUAGAUAGGAAAAUAUAAUAUUUUUCUCAGAUUUUAUUUAGAACUUUUUUUUUUUGAGGAUUUUUUCUUAAUAACUCAUAACUGAUCCCAAAAGUUUUCUAGGCCCAAAGACUAAUCUUUUGGGGCCGGAGGAGACCAUGUUAAAUCUCGAACCUCCGUGGCCAAUGCUACUCAAACCCAGGUGAUACGUCGGUGGAAAAGAAUGUUUGAUAUGUCGUGGCUUGUACGCGCAUGUUUGAGCGCGUGGAUUUUCAUUUAAAGACUAAAUUUUGUACAUAUAGAAUGUAAUUUCGAGAUUUCACCAAAAAGGGAUGUAAUCUAUAUAUACAAAAUAUUUUUAUUUCUUUCUAAAAUAUUAAGAUAAGUCUUAGAAAAAAUUUGAAUUAAACUUUCUAAAUAUUUAAUUGAAAUAAAAAAAAAUUAUAUCAAAGAUAAGAGUGAACUUAACCUUGACCCAAUCCAUCUAUAAAUAUGGAGUAGAGUAGUAGCAAGAAGAGCAACACAACACCACUAAAAACAUAUCUCUAAAUUUAAGAAAUGGCUCCUCGUCAGAAGAGAGAGAUCAAAUUCAUCGAGAACGAAAGAUCAAGGCUAUCUACUUUUCAUAGACGUCAAUGUAGCAUUUUCGAGAAGGCUGAUGAACUCUCAAAGAUACCUGAUGUUGAAGUCCGCGUUCUCCUCGUCUCACCCACUAAUAUAUCGUAUACGUUCGGUAAACCAAGCCUCAUCAAUAAUGUUGAACGUAAUCUCAUGAAAGAAUUGGAACAACUCGAAAUGCAUGAGGAGGUAUGUGUAACCCAUUAGUUAUCAUAUAUAUGUUAUGAUUAUUAUUUCUUAUGUUUAGAAUUAUUUUGUAAAUUUUAGUUGUUGAGGAAGAGGAACCAAGAAGAACUUGAGAAGUCCAAGAUGUUGGAGAAAGUAGAAUUGGAGGACUUGGUUGCUUUCAAGGAGAAACUGGAGGCCCUUCGAGCAGAUCGAAAGAGGAGACAUGAAGAGAUGAAGGCUUCGGCUACUCUCUUGAUGCUCUCAGAAGAAACCGAGAAUAAGAAGAUGAAGAUUGAGGCAGAUCCAAGGGAAAAAUAUGAACUUCGGCCUAGAAUUCCCCGGAACUAUGUCGAAUAGACAAACAUUUCGGAACUAUGUUUUUAAUUUCAAGAAGUUUAUGGAACAAUUUUGGUUGUAAUUGAAGGACGUUGUGUGUUCUUCAUCUCUUUUGUCUUUUUCACAAGGAUUUUCAUAAGUCCCUUUUCAAUAAUACUACAGGAUUUUUUUUAAUAAUAAUUUACAAUAUAUGUGAUUAUAUAUUGUUAGGAAAUUUUGGCAUAAAGUGUCCCAUGAGUUUACAGAUGAUAAAUACAAAAAACAUUUGCACACAAACACCGUAUGUGUCUUUCGUAUAACCAUAUGACACCGUUUUUGUCCGGAGCACCGUUUUUGUCCGGAGCACCGUUUUUGCUUGUGAUUUAACAAUUAUACCCUUCUAACUAAUACUAUUUUGUCAACUGAACUCUCGUUAGUUUUGUGUUUUCCUUUUAAUAAAUUUACUAUAUAUUUUUUCUUACCAUCGUCCGAACUCAAUUAUAACAAGAUUUUAUCUCCUCAAUUACGUACCAAAACCCGUACCUCCUCCAUAUUCACUCUCUCUUUGUCCCUCUUUCUAAAAAAACUUAGACUGCGGACUUAUAGUUGGAACUUCCCAAAUCCUCCUCUCUGUAAACACACCAUCGCUAGAUUUUUCUAGCCCUCCUUCUAUUCGAGUUGGAAAUUUAACCUCUUUAUUCGUUCUCCCUACAUUCCGCGUUAUACCCAACCCCAGCCGCCGUGUACUAUGCAACAGUCCCGACAACGAUGAAUGGUAUCCACUGUAUAACUAAUUUUUUAAAAACCUCGAUAUAUUCCCCCUCGGCUUGCAACGCACUCCGGGUUACCGAAAAUGCAGAUGAACCCACCCCAGAUGAACACCUUUCUUCUCCAACAAAGUCGUCGGAAUCGUUAAUCCAGCCAUGUGUUGAAGUGUUGUUUUGUCAUAUUUUGGUUGAUUUUGAAAUUUGUCUUGGAUGGUUUAUAGUUAGAAAUGCAUGUGCAGUGUCAUAGUAGUGGGAAUGUGUUUCUCUGCCCACGUUUCAUGUUCUUGGGAGUUUGUUACGUUUUGUGUAUUUUUAACCAACUAGUCUAUUGUAAAAUCACUUCCUUAUCUUUUUCUUACCACCAUAUUCAAUAAUAAUACAACUAUAUUUAGGUUUAACUGUGUUCUAAAACACAAAACAGUACAAAGCCCAUUACACAUAAGUAAGCUUAAUUAAGAAGCUUACGUCUCAGUCUGACUUUAGCACAUUCAACUUUCACGAUAUAUCACUGAACUGCCUCUAGAUUCACUAACCUUUUUCUCUUGUUGGCUUCCUUAGUAUCAACCAAUUUCUCACAGCUUCUCUUCACAACAUCAUCUCCAACCUUAUCUCAUUUUCAUCUAAGUUGUCGUCCGCAUAAUCACUAAUCAAGAAGGAAAUAAGAUAUUGGAAAGAAACAUCUAUGACAGAUGAAUAUUACUUUGUUGAGUUCAAAAUAUUGGAAAAUGGAGAACAUGAAGGGUAAACAUCACAAGAUAAAUCUUUCUUGUUGGUUGUUUUGUUCUUGGUUCUUGAAAUUGUUGUUCUGCUUGAGCUUGUAUUUGACAUCAUUUGAGAUUUUAUAGUCUUGUUCACAUAAUAGCAUAUUUAUUAUAAGCAAUCAUAUAUUCUAUAGAAAUCUAUAUAUAUUUUAGUUUGGAAUUUUGAAUUGUUUGAAUUCUACAAGAAACUCUAAUUUUAAUUUACAAGUACAAAAAGUAAUAAUUUAUAAGUUUUAACUAGUUAACCUUCAAAUUUUACUCUAGUGAUGAUGUUGCUCUCAAGAUUGUAGUAUAAAAGGAAGCAAAGGACAUAUAUAUCUCGUUCCACGUUGGUAAAGGACAUAUAUAUCUCGUUCCACGUUGGUACCAAUACCUGUCACAGAGCACAAGAAGUGAGGGUGGUUGUGGUGACUUCAAUUGAGAAUUCCUCCGAGAGAAUUGGCGAAGAGAACCUAAGUCACCGAUGCUUACGAACCACGAAGUUAAGAUCACUUAAGAAGUUUUUGAGUAGAGAGAAAGAAAGGUGUAGUUUGCAUUAUUGGUUCAAGAAUAUAGAGAUCUGGAGAUCAAAACAUGAAUCGGUUAUCUUUGUAUAUUUAUUUUAGUUCAAAUCUACAUUUAGAUUUUCUACUAGAGAUGAUGAUCAAGCCAUGGUUACAGAAUACAAUCCAAUUCUUGCAAUGGCAUCUACAUGCAUGUUUCUUUAACAAUACUUGGCAGCAGAUAUAACAUUAUUUGAAUAUUUGAAAACUAAUGUAUUAUUAAAAAGAACAGAUCAAGAAUAGUGAUUUAAAGACAUAGAGGCUCUCUGAUAGAGUAGAACAGAAAUUUUAAAAAAAUAAGUAGAACAGAUCAAUACUCUCACUCUCACUCUCUUAUAAAUUAGAUCUAGAAACGCAAAGAGAAAAAGAGAGAACCAGAACAAACCAAAAAAAAAUAUCAUAAGAGAAAAAUAUAAAUUGAUUGAUGUGAAGAGUAAAAAGAGUAUCAAUAAAAAUUUUAGAAUGUAAAUUAUUUUUGACUUACUACAUAUUCUAAAGCAAAGGUCAAACAUUUUUUUUCACGGCAGUUGAAAACUAUAAGUUAAUAUUUUGUUGUUGAUAAAUCAGUUUGUUUUAUCUUUGUUGAAAAAAGGUAAGCUUGUAUAAUAUUUUGUUGUUGUUUUGAAUCAAAUAUAAAAUAAUGUAGGUAAUGAAUUUGAAUUUAUGCCAUCAAAAAUGUAGUAGUAAGAAAAAUUAUGACUACAAUAUUUUUUUCUCUAUUCGAGUUUAUGAUUUAUUAUUGAUACUUUUUGUCUAUUUGAGUUUAUGAUUCCCUAUAAAUAAAAUACAAUAAAAAGUAUAAAAUUAACAGUUUUAUAAAAUGAGUUGGAUAGGAAAAAAUAAUCAGACUUUCUGUAGAAAUAAAUCUUUUGAAGAUUUCAUUUGAAAAAAGUAAAAUAAUACUUUUUGAUUUAGAAGAAACUUAUAAAGUAUUUUCAUCAAUUUUUCAAUUUUCAUUUAUUUUAAAAAGAAGUUUUGAUAAGUCGUGGCUUGCACGCACGCGUGUUUGCGCGUGUAGGUUUUUAUUUAAAGAUUAAAUUUUGUGUAUAUAGAAUGAAAUCUUGAUAUAAAUAAUAUUUUUAUUUUUUCCUAAAUAUUUUGUAUUUUCAAGAUAAGUUUUCCAAAAAAAAAUUAUUUUGAUAUAAUUUUUGUGUCAUAUAUUUACUCAUAAACUAAUAGUUAUCUAAAAUAAUUUAUGUUGAAUGAAAUAUAAUAGAAAUAAAAUUAUAUUAAAACACUAUUUUUGGUAUCUCUUAUAAGAUAAAUAUUUUUUAAAGGUAAAGUCAAAUAUUUUAAUGAAAAAUGUAUAUCAUAGAUAGAAAUGUCAGAGUGAAUUUAACCUUGUUGACCCAAUCUAUCUAUAAAUAUGGAGUAGAGUAGUAACAAGAAGAGCAACAACAACACCAAAAACAUCUCUCUAAAAUUAAGAAAUGGGUCGUACAAAGAGAUCGAUAAAACUCAGCGAGAGCAAAAGAUCAAGGCUAUCUACUUUUUCGAGACGUCAAGCUUGCAUUUUUAAGUUGGCUGAUGAACUUGCCAAGAAGUCUGAUGAACUUGCCAAGAUGGCUGAUGAACUUAGCAAGAGGCCUGAUGUUGAACCAUUCUUCAACAAUGUACUUGAACGUCUCAUGGGAGAAGAGCCUAAGGAGGUAUGUGUCCCAUUAUUUUUCAUAUAUAUAUAAAAUAUAUCUUAUGUUUAUAAAUUCUUUUUGUAAAUUUUAGAUUUUUAGUAAGAGGAAUCAAGAAAAUCUUGAGAAGAUGACUGUAGAACAGGAAAUGGAGGUCUUGGUUGCUUUCAAGGGGAAAUUGGUGGCCCUUCGAGCAGAAAUAUGCAGGGUUCAAGAGAGGAAAGCUUCGGCUUCUCUCUUGAUGCUCUCUAGGGAAACAAAUGAUCCUCGGAACUAUGUCGAAUAGACAAACAUUUCGGAACUAUGUAUUUAAUUUCAAGAAGUUUAUGCAAUAAUUUUGGUGGUUGUAAUUGAAGGAAGUGUAUGUGUCCUUCAUCUUUUUGUCUUUUUACAAGGAUUUUUCAUAAGUCCCUUUUUCAAUAAUAAUACAAGUUUUUUAUAAUAAUUUACAAUACAUGUGAUUAUAUAUAUGUUUAAGAUAAUUUGGCAUAAAGUGUCCCAUGAGUUUACAUAUGAUUACAAUGUCAUAUCAGUUUUAAUAAAAGUGAAUAAUAUACAGCUAAUAGAGAUUGAAAGAGAAGAUGCAGAAAAACAGCUGAUGAGUGAUUGAAUAGUGUGAACUCAUGUUUUUCUCCGCACCUUCAUUUUAAGAAGGUCACACUAUUAAGAUUUAUUCCCUUCUUUUGUGUGUGUGUGUGUCUAUAUUUUACCUUUUAUAAUUGAUAAGAAUAAAAUCAAAGUAAUUGAUAAGGAUAAAAUCAAAGUUAAUAACCAUGUGUUAGUACCUCAAUUGGUAAAGAUCUCUGGCAAAAGCUUAGAGGUCGCCGGUUCGAGUAUCGCUUGGGACGAGACCAUAUAACAUGCUUUGGUCUCGGAUUUGAGGGGGUGUAUGAGUUUCGGCCCAGAACCUCUUUGAUUAUUAAAAAAAAUAUAUAUAUAUCAGAGUUAAUUAUCUCCACUAUAUUACAGUUUAGUUUGCGUUCAAUUUGAAGUAGUACAUGAGGUUAUUGAUUGCCUGGUAAAGGUCCAAAUUCAAUAUGUACAAUUUCAAAGGGUAAGUUGGGUUAGUUACUAAACAAAAAUAUAUAUAAAAAUUCGAUUUAAUUAUCGGUUUGGUUCGGGUAACAAUUCUCAAGAAUCUGGUAUUAUUUGAUUUAAACAUAGUUUUAAGGCGUUUUCAAGAAAUUUUUGUUUUAACAUGUGUCAUCUGAUUCGAUAUAAUUUGUACAUGUGGGAUCUGACUCAGCAAAAAUUGUACACAUAGUAUUUGACGCAUCAUAGUUGGCCAAUAUCAAUCUGGUCAAUGUUGCUUUCAACAUAUAAAUUUGAUAGCUCAUGUAGUUUAUUUGAAAAAUAUCUAGUUUGGGUUGAUAGUACGCACUAAAGUUGAGGUAUAAAAACGACAUUUUUGAAAUUGUAUAGGUUAAGUUCGGCUCUUUACACAUUGAUUACAUCAUUACAUAUGUACUCAUACUGUUGGGAGUGAAUUUGCAACAACUAAUUAUAUGAUAUUGUUGAUUUGUACUGAUUAUGAAGAAAGACGUUUAUCCGCUUUUGAAAUUACUUUCUCGCUACUUCCUUAUCUUUUUCUUAGCAUCAUGCAUACAACUAGAUUUAGGUUUAACUGUAUAUUAAAACACAAAACAUUACAGAGCGUAUUACACAUACGAAUUAGCACAUUCAAAUUUCUGCUUGACCUUGCAUUUGACAUCAUUUGAGAUUUUAUAGUCUUGUUCAUAUAAUAGCUAUGGGUUCCCCGAUCCUCUUGCAUCCACUGCACUAUUUAUCUUGAGAUGACUAUUAUAUAGUUACAGCUUGCACUUUUAUUAUAUGCAAUCAUGUAUUUUAUAGAGAUCUAUAUUUGAAUUUGGAACUUUUAAAUUUGAAUUCUUAAAACUCUAGUUUUAAUUUAGAAGUACAAAAAGUAAUAAUUCACAAAAACUAUUAAAAAUGUACAGUGUAUGAGAAAUAGCAACACAAAACAAAUUAGCACCAUAAGCAUUACUAACAUCAUCUCCCAUAUACGUAAGUGUAUGAUGAGAACAUAAACAAAAUUAUCCCACUUUUACUUNNNNNNNNNNNNNNNNNNNNNNNNNNNNNNNNNNNNNNNNNNNNNNNNNNNNNNNNNNNNNNNNNNNNNNNNNNNNNNNNNNNNNNNNNNNNNNNNNNNNNNNNNNNNNNNNNNNNNNNNNNNNNNNNNNNNNNNNNNNNNNNNNNNNNNNNNNNNNNNNNNNNNNNNNNNNNNNNNNNNNNNNNNNNNNNNNNNAUUCUUAAGAACAUCUGAUGGUAAAUGAAUCAUACCAAAUGUUUCAGACCUGACAUCAAAGCUCAUUAUAACCCAAACACUGGUAUGGUAAACAUAGGCUAGAUAAUAUAUAACCCCCUUGAUGCAUCUCCCACAAGUACUAUACCCGUCAGAACGAUGUGUAAGUUUAGUUUUGACUGUUCUCCAUGAUUCUUGACCAGAUCCUAACGUUACUUUGUGUUUACCUUCAACGGGAUCGUAUCCUAAAUAAAGGGUUAGAUUCUCCCAGCUCAUUCUAGGUUUGGGUAAAGCUAAGAUCUCUCCCGUGCUAGGGUUACAAACUAUCGGUAUUUACUAAGUGAGUGAUAAUGUUGCGGAACCGAGGAAACGAACAACUUGUUUUGUUCGAUGUAGCAAACCAAAAGACACGACCGUGGGUACCUUUUUUCGAACAUCUUGAUGAAAAAACUAUCGGUGUUGCUUGAUAACCAAACCAUCGACACCCAACGAAGCCUCGCAAUAGAUUCUUCAGGCAGCCUUAUGAGUAUCUCUGAGGAAAAGACGAAGUUAAUUUGGAGACUUUUAUUUCCUUCUCUUUUUGUUUCUCCAUCUUUAGUAGUCAAAGCCUUAAUUUGUUAUGGCUGCGUUGCUUUUGACCUUGUCUGUAUAUAUAUAUUUUCAUUUUAGUAUUGAUUUUAUGAUAUCUAAAAUCUAAAACGUAAUUCACUUUUAUUUUCUUAUUCACUUAUAUUCUUCUUCACAAACAUACAUGAGUUAACGUGUUGUAAUUACAAAAUUUGUCUCAUCAAUGUAAUCAAAGCAAAAUUUGAUACUACAACUAACAAAAAUGUUCUAUAAAAACAGAGUCAAGAACCAAACCCAUUUCUCCAUGGCUACAACCAAAAAAAAAGGUUCUAGAAAACAAAGUCAAAAACCAAACCCAAUCUCUCCAUGGCUACAACCAAAAAAAAAGGUUCUAGAAAACAGAGUCAAGAACCAAACCCAUCUCUCCAUGGCUCUAUAUAUAAUGUUAGACUCUUAACCUAAGAUUUUGGUAAGAAAUGACUCUUAUUUAAUAGCUUUUCUUAACAAAAUCUUAAGUUAAGAGACCACCAUUAUUAAUGCUCAAGGGUAGAAAUACCCAUGUACCAGAGUGUUGUAACUUGUAAGUGUCAAUGUUAGGCUUAAUUAGUUCCAUUAAAAAUUGUCAACUGACUGAAACGAAAAGAAUAAUAUUCUGAAUUUCUAUUUUUAGGCUCUCUAGUACCGACUUAUGAAAAAGUUUCAUUUUAUCCAUAGUUUCAUCAAGUUUUCAGAAUGGUUAGCGCUUUUAUGUGUAGUGAUUAUGUUUCUUGUUUCUCGAUCUAUGCCUUUGAAGAUAAUAUGUAGAGAAAUAUAAAUUCUGCUUCUGAACCACAUUAUUCCUCAGUAAAUCUUGUUUUGGGUGGGGGGGAGAAGCAUGUGACAUGACGAGGUUUUUAUCCUUUAUUUCAUUUUUUAAGUUUGCCUCUAUCUUGACUUUACUAAAGCAAGUUGUCAUACCAUAACGUAAGUGUUAGAAACUUGAUUGAUUGAUUCUAGGGGGCUUCAAGAGCUGUGAGGUACGUUUAUAUCUAUAGUAAAGAAUUUUACUUGGUUUUUUUUUUACAGUAUUUGGUUUGUUAACUAAAGAAUAUAAAUUAAAGUACUUAAUAAUGGGUUGACAAAUAUAUAUAUUAUUUCUGUUCGCAUGCCUUACAAAUACUUAGACCUUGAAUUGAUGGUGUAGUUGGGUAUCGCCUAAGAGUAUGAAUGCUUAAUCGUUUGCCUGAAAAAGUUACUUUUAAAUGAAAAAGAACUUGCACAAAAAUGAUCAUCCAAGGAAGAACAAAAAAAAACAUGAUUCUCAACGUGAUUCGGGAAAGCAUGGAGCACAUACAUCGAUGUGUCCUCUGUGAUUCCUUUAAGUUCGAAUCGUCUACAGCUUCGUUUCACGGGAUCAUAUAAUAAAAUAUAACUCACCAUUUCAAACCCGGAUACUUCGUAAAUAAACUCACCAGCAUUAGUGCAACCUUCAAAUCUUAAAAAAGUUGUCAAACCAGGAGGUACUCCAAAAUGAACAGGUAAAACAUCUUUACGCGACCACUUGUGUUUCUUUGUAUCCUCCAAAAUGCACAAUGUGGUACAACGCUCCCCUCUAAUUCUACCACCCUUCAUGGCACACACUCGAGCACAAGCUAACCUCCCUUCAUAAGUUAUGAGAACACUUUUAUCAUGAUUAAUAUCCGAUGGCAAUUGUAUCAUAUCGAAUUUUUCAGAUUUGACAUCAAAGCUCAUUACAACCCAAACACGGGUAUAAAUGAUUUGGGCUAUAUAAUAUACAACCCCCUUGAUGCAUCGACCAGAAGACUGAAUUUUUGAACGAUGCUUAUGUCGAGAUUUUAUUGUUCUACUUCUCCAUGAUUCUUGAGCUGAUCCCAAAGUUAGCACCCGGCAUUUAUUAGAAACUCUACAAAGAGGUAUGCACAUUACUUUGUGUUUACCUUGAACCGGAUCGUAACCUAAAAAAAAUUUAACGUCAUUCCAGCUAAAUUUUGGUUUGGGUAAAGUUAAUAGCUGUCUUGUACUAGGGUUCCAAACUAUAGGCGUUCCUGAUUCUUGUAAGCAGAUCAAGCCCUGGACAGAUUCCGUAGAGAAGUUAACAUAUCCUUUAGGGAAUUCCAUAUGAUACCCAUAAAUAGACUGAUAACAAGUGUAAGACCUUUUGGAAUUCUCAAGUGAAUGCCGAAGUUGUGGAAUCGAGGCAACAAACAACUUUUCAUUUUCAAAGAAGCAAACCAAAAGACUUUGCUGUGGGUACUCAAAAAUUCUUAUUUUGCAAAUGUCCCAUCAAUAAAACACUAUAACCGGUAUGUGAGAGUGCUUCUCUAUUUGUUUUUUCUAAGGGUUUUGUGCAAAUUAACCUUUCAAAUCGUCAAUUUACGGAACUCUGUCUUCCAUAUCAAAAUAAUUACAGAAUAAUCAUACUAAGUCAAGAAUAAUACGCAAUACAGCCCUUAUAGUAGAUAAAUAUAUUUUUCUAAACGAUUUUAUGGUCACAUACAUUUAUUUAUAAAAAUUCUAAAAAUUUAUCUGAACUUCUAGUUAUGAGGGAUUCGAUUUGAUAUAUUAUUUCUAAAAAAUUUACAACCAUGAUAGUAGCAAAAAUGAGUUAUAUUGUAUAUUUAUUGGACUUUGUAUGAUUGGUUUGCAUUUUCUGGAUUUGGAGGGUAAACUUGCUAAAAAUAGCGACUUUGAAGGUUUAUAUGCAUAAAACCCUUUUUCCAACUACUUAAAAAUAAGAAGCUUUUAAAUAAGAAAAAUAGUACAUGUCAAUUUGUUAAUAUGAAACUACAGCAAAAUUUUCUUAUUUCUUAAACUACUUACUUCAUAUAUUUUUUGGUUCUUUUAUUGGCUCUUUUGAUAAACAAUUUCAACAAAAAUAUUUUUCAUGUUUCCUCCAAAGCUUGGCCUCAUGGCCAGCUCUGCUUUUAUGUCAUGUUGAUCUCUUAAACUUUGAAACAAAGUAUAUGCGUAUAUAAUCUUGGUGCAAUUCACUUCUAGGUCCCAAAACAAACUAAGUAAAAUGCCACAAGAAAGGUAAAGAGUUACUACUAUUGAACGGUUGAAUUUAUAAAAUGCAGGAGGGAAGUGGCAAGGGAGGAAGAUGAAACGGGAUAGAAUCAAAGCUUACAAAAAAUAAAAAUAAAAAUGAAAAUAUAGAAAUUGCAUAAAUAAUCAUUCUUAUUAAACUAAUACAAAGUUUCUUGACUAUCAACGUGAUCCGGGAAAGCAUGGAGCUUAUAAAUACCUCUGUUCGAAACUCCCUCAGUGAUUCCUUGAAGUUUGAAUCUUCUAAAGCUGUUUUUAAUUGGAUCACAAAAUAAAAUAUAAACCAUCAAGAGUGUAACUUUUUAGUUGGAAAUAAGUUCUCAUUCUAUCAUCAAAGCAACCACUAGGUGCAAGAUCAUCUUUCCUAAACCACUUGGGUUUCUUUGCGUCCUCCAAAACGUACAAUCUGAUACCAUGCUUCCUGAUGACUUUACCAUCUUCCGGGUGAAGGCAUAUUACGGUUACGGUUAAUUAAUGGUUACGGUUAGUAUAUUUUUUUAGCCGUAAAUAAAUUACUUGUAUGGUUAACGGUUACGAUUUUUAAC